rnacentral:lncRNA from 1 species
UUUCUUUUUUUCUUUUUUCUUUUUGUUUCUGUUUCUGUUUCUUUGCUUUGGUGUAAGUGAAAGAAUUCUUUAGAAUUUAUAAUUUUUCAAGAUAUAUAGUCGAAGAAAAAAGGUGAUGGUGAAUUUGUGAGAUGUUGCAUAAUGAUAGUUGUUUCUAUAUAAUUUGACCCAAGUGCAAGUAGGGUAAUGGUAGUAAUUUUUUUAAUUUUUUUAUGCGGAGGGAUGGUCGUUUAAAGUUGGAAAAUUUUGGUGCUUUUCGAAUACUAUUUCUUUCCAUUUCUUGCUUGCAAUUGUCAAGUUGGUUUGAGUUAAUUAAUGUUAUAGACUUAUAGUCAUUGAACAGUUCAAAAGAAAAAGUUAUAGUCAUUCUACCUGUACUGUAAGUUCACGCAAUAGGGUCAUGGCACUAUUUCACGAAUGUUACAGUCAUUGUACGGCAAGUUAAGUCAAUUAUUUAGUUAAUUAAACAAUACGCUCUUUGGGAAAAGUUGACGCAAUAAAGGGUGAUAGUUUUAAGUCAAUUAUUGAUUUGUUUAGACAUUAAUUUUGAUAAAUGGGUCAUUAAUAUAUGAUCAAAUGAGGUUGAUAAUGGAACCCAGUUAUUAAAGAAAGCUGGCCUUCACCCAGAGAACAAAUUGCAGGACAUUUAAAGGAGGCCCUGCUGCUGCAGUUUUAUUGUGCUCGUCACGUCUCGCGGGCGUUGGCCACUUUUAACUACGCAUUCAGUUCAAAGACAAGUAUAAUGGAGAGAGCCUGAGCAGUCCUUUUUAAAUAUUGUCGCCAUUAUCAAAUUCCACCAAAAUUCAAUAAUAGAUAAUCACAUUUGGUGUCUUUCUGGCCGUUGAGCAUAGUUUUAAUGGUGAAAGGCCUGUUAAUAUUUUGGUUGUUGAGUGUUUGAUCAAAGUUCUGAGAGAGCCAUUCUGAUUUGAGUUGUCACACGCGCGCGCACACACACACACACAUAGGGCAGUGAAAAGAAAUGUCGACAUCUUUGCUAGCUGUUGUUGCCAGAGAAAUAGGCAGCCAGCCACCGUUGAAAGUGGCUUCCAUUUCAUAUCAUGGUAGAUUAUUGACUUUGCCUUUGCCUGUUUGGCAUUGGCAUUUGCCUCAUAAAACCACUUCGAGACAUUUGAUGGCAACACGACGUUGAACCCAAAAAGAAAAUUUUCUUAAUUUUCAUGAACACCUGAUGGAGUAAAUUUCUUAAUUACACCAAACAGGCAUAAUUUAUUAGGAUCCGGCAAUCUAAUCGACAAAGCUCACAAUUUUGCGACCACAUCAAUUGUGUUUGGCCCAAUUUUUUACAUUAAGAACCCAAAUGUGUUUAAGAGUAGAUGGUAAUUUGGCGUUAUCUCUGUGUUUGUUGAGCAGAAGGAAAAAAUGGGUGACGUUAGUUUCUUGCAACUCAUAAUAUUCACCCGGGUCACAUUAGCUAUGGUACAAAGAACAAGUUGACAUAAAUUAAUUCGGCAAAUAGCUCGUUUUCAAUUUUUUGAAGAAACAAAAAUAUUCUGUCCCGAUGAGUUUUGUAGUGGGGUCGAUUAAAACAGAGAUUUGUCCUUGGAAUUUUGCUUGUGUGAUUGUCAAUGUAUAGCAAAUUUGGGAACAUUGCAACAAAUUUCCGAAGCUGCCAUCCAGCUCGCUGUUUGGUUCCCGCAUCAGUUGCAGCGCCAAAAAGUUGCCUGCUCGUGUUAGCUCAAUAAGGCAAUUGAUGAAACACCGAGCAUCAAUUAUAAGCAAAAUAUUUGGGACAUUUGUUUUUGAUGGUUCUGCAAUGGCAGGCAAAAAUAGGGUGGGAGCUAGUUGGUCGGUUUUGACGUUAGUUCAACAGUUUGUCGCAACAAAUUUUCAUUUUUUUGUUUGGGCUUGAAUUUCAUACUCUCUUCUGUAAGCUCAGUUGGGUUAAUAAUCACAGCCCAAUGUAGUGAAUUGGGUUCCUUUAAAUUAGAUUUUGGGCUUGCCAUAUUAUUGGCCCACAAUCUCCUACUAGAUUCUUCCAGAUGCCCGUUUUGUCUCUGUACCCCGCGUGUCUCACGUACGCGUACACUUUGCUUCGUGGAAUUGGUUGUUUGGUCAUCUACGUUGAAGCUCCAAGUACGGAUAGCGUAGCGUUGCAGCCCCAAUUGGGGAUAGCAACAGAUAUUGUGUGAGAUGCCAACACUUGUAUCCGUAUUUGGUAAAGGAUAUUUCCGUCCCCAAUCUUUAUUUAUUGUUGGCUUGAAUGGGUAUGGGUUAGAAAUUUCCCAAUAAAAUUAAAAAUAUUCAUCCGUUCUCUAAUCCUCUAUAUCUCCUUUUACUUUUUAACAUCUGUAUAUAUAUAUAUUUUAAAUAUAAUUAUUUAGUUAUGAAAUUAGUUAAAUAUAAUUAAACAGUAAAAGAUUAUGAUUCUCUCAUGAUCUAAUCAUGUUCUGAGCAAAUAAUUAUUAUGAAAUUAGUUAAACAAACUUUUUAGUUUUCUUUAAAUAUAAUUAUUUAGUUAUGAAUAUAAUUAUUUAGGGAUGAAUAUUUUUUAAAUAUAAUUAUUAAAAAUAAUUAUUUAACUCAUGCGUGCAAGUUGCCUCAAUGUUUAAUUUUAAUCAAUUUAUUACUAAAUAUAUGAAUUGAAAAAAAAAGAGUCUCUAGUUGGCAUUUCCUUGUCCAUCCUUCACUCCUUUCAAUUGGUCCUAAUUUGAAUAUUAUUCUAUUGUCAUUUGUUUUCGAUUAGGACAAAUUUUAGACGGUCCAGUAAAUGUCUAGUUCAUUUAACGGCUAAUCUUUAAGUAAAUGUCUAAAAAAAUAUCAUUUUAAAUAUUUGUUUUAAUUUCUCAGCUGCUAAGUGCUAAUGUUUUUGUUUUAGGAUUUUAACUUUUUACUUUAAUAUUUAUUUGACUUAGCUAUUAAUUUUAGCUCUUAAAAAAUUAAAAGAAUAAUAAAUAGUCACUAGUCAAAUGGGUUUAGUGAGUAGGUAAGGAUAUUAGUGUUAUUAUACUUGUACUCAACCUUUCUAAUUAAUAAAUAUAAUUUUUUUUUUGUGUAAGUCAUUCGGUAUCUGGCGAUCGCAUUGGAUCUCGACUAAUUCGAAUUCGGGGUAUAGUCAUAGUUAAGACUCUUUAUCCCUCCUAAAUGACGUGUUUAGCGGAGAUUGAACUCGAGAGCUCUUCUUACAAACUUAGCAUGUGCUGCCAAUUGAGCCACAACUAUUUAGUAAUAAAUAUAAAUUUUUAAAUCUGUAUACAAUCUUUUUUUUGUGGAAGAAAGAUAAAAUUAAAGCAAGUACACUGAUCUUAGCAUGACGGACCCCACAAAAUUCCUACUCACUAGGAUUCUUCGCCAUCCCUAGCUAGAAGCUUCCCCUUGGGCUUCUUCGCACCUCAAAAGUCCAUAUCAAAUGGGGUUUUCACUUUUCAAUUCAUAUAUAUGUGAGUGUGUAGGUUUUUUUUUUUUUUUAAAAAAAAAUUUUAUUACAUGCUUAUUUGUUUAUGAAAUCAAUGCAUUUAUAAUUAUACCAAAAGGAGGCUGUAUUUCCCAACUUUCUUAUUAUAAGUGGGCGGCCAGGGACCUCUAGAAUACAGCAAGAAACAAAAAUAAGAAACUGCCAGUUCUCUUAAAAUAGAUAAGAAUGUUUGGCGUCGAGCCAAAAUUUUUUUAUUUAAAGGUUGAUCUCAUUCUUUAUUCACACCCAUGAAAGGUUCAAGCUUAUUUUCAUGGUCUCACGUAAUCGUCAUUUCAAUUUGCAUAUCCAUUAGAAAUGAUAUAAUCAAUGCGCUUCAAUGUCAAAAAUAAAAUAAAAUCAAAUCAAAACCGAUAUGGUAAUUGAUGUGUUUGAUUUUUUUUUGGUUUGAUAUGGUUUAUUGUUGUGCAUGCUUAAUUAAAUGACACAUAAAUAAAAAAAUAUAUUUUAAUAGUACUACUUAUUCGAUAAGAUUUAUACUAAAUUAAUGUACAAAAUAUGUUUUCAAUUUGACACGAUUUACUUCAAUGCAUACUUAAAGCAUCCCAUAGGCAGAAAAUAUUUAUUUUACAUAUAUAUUUUUAAACAAUUCAUACAAAAAGAGAUUUUUUUUAAAAAAAAUUUAUAUUCCAAACAUUACAAUUGGGGAUUGGGAAAACUUAAAAUGCUUAUGAUUAUAACAAUAUAACGGGACAUUGGUACCUUUAGUUAUAUAGCCUGUAGAUCCACUAAACAAAACUCGAAAAUUUACAUAUAAUACGUGCAAAUUUGUCCGUGCAUAUAAAUGUAUAUUUAAAGUACAGAAUGAGCCCCUUGAUCGUUACCCUUGAUUUUACCCCCUCCCCCACCCAAACAAAAAAAAGAGAAAAUUAAGAAACAAAAAAAAAAAAAAGGAAAAAAAUCUUAUCCAAUUUGGGAAAUUGCGUCGCCCAAAAAUCAAAAUCACACUCCAUUGAUUAACCUACAUUAUCCAAAACUUGCGUCUUGGGUUUAAUGCUCCAUGCUCCACUAAUAUGCCAACAGCAGUCCCCCGUCUAACCGACCAUCAGUUUACUCGUAACGGUGACAGCCUCUCCGCGUAUAACCGACUUAACUAACCUUGAUCGUUACAGCCAAUCACAUGCUUCCACGUAGUGGAAUGUUUCUUCUUACUAAAACGUUUGACUAUUGGGCCCCACGUUAAUUACUUAGAUUAGAUGUCAGAAAACUAAAACCCCUUUUGAAUCUGUUGGGAUUCAAUGGACCCCACGUAAGUGAUCCAUAAGCCAAAUCCGUUUGAAUGAUGCAUUCAAGUUACCAAUAUACGCUUAAUUAAAUCAGACGGUGUAGAUUAGUUGAUGGGUGGUCAAAGCAUGGAAUUUUAGAAUAUUAUACUAGGAUUCUUCGCUAGUCAGAAUCACAAGUUUCUACUUCACAUUAUCUGUUGCCUUUUCAAGCUCGAAUCAAGAAUUAACACUUUCUCAAAGCCCAUGAGAGUUGCAAUCUUCAAUUCAUCACAAAACUAGCAAUAAGCUUAAGCUAAUUAUUGGCUAAAUUACAGAAGCGGCCUAAAAAUUAUUCCUAAUUUGUAGACUAUUUCUGAAAAUUUCCCCAAUCCUUUUGGCAUCAAAAGACAUAGAUCACCUCAUCAGUACGUGUCACAUGAUAAUACCUCGGACCCACAUCUCGAUUGUUCUAUAGAAGUGGGUCCAUUGAUCAAAACCCACAUGAUUUAAUCAACUGGGUCUGAGCACAUACACUCUAGGCCUGCUGAUAUCUCUAUAUAUUCACCAGCUCCUCCUCUUCUUGUUUCCUCAUUCAAAGCCAAAAGUCUUUUCAUUGAAAUUGUAUUUCUGUCUCUCAUAUUCGUCUUUGUUUCUAGUAUCUUGUUGCUUCAUCAUAAUGUCUCCUCCUAACUUUGUCUCUCAGAGAGUUGGAAAUAAGCCUACAAGCAACAACACUUUCAAUACUUCAAGAUUCUCAUUAUGCAAUAGAAACAUCUCCGUUGAUGGCAUUACUCUUCUUUCUGAAGUCCCCGUGAACGUAGCUCUAUCACCUUUCUCUUCACUUCCUCAUAGCUCAGACACCGACUCCAUUCCUCCUCAUAUACUCAAAUCUGUCGCUUCCAAAUCCAAAAACGGCGCCUUUCUCGGCUUGUCCGUGAAGCAAGCUCAAGACAGAAUCUUGAACCCCAUAGGCAAACUCCUUAACAGGAAGUUUUUGAGCCUCUUUCGGUUCAAAACUUGGUGGUCAACUAUGUGGGUUGGUUCAAGUGGCUCUGAUUUGCAAAUGGAGACUCAGCUGAUCCUCUUGCAACUCCCUGAACUUAACUCAUUUGCUGUACUAAUCCCUCUAAUAGAAGGCAAUUUUCGCUCGGCAAUUCACCCUGGUGCCUCUCACGGUGACGUUGUACUCUGUGUUGAGAGUGGCUCAACAAAAGUGAGGGGCCAAAAAUUCUCUUCUUGUGCUUAUUUGCAUGUUGGUGACAAUCCUUAUGAGCUCAUGAGAGAUGCCUUCGCCGCUGUUCGCGUUUAUCUGGGGACUUUUAGGCUCUUGGAAGAGAAAACUGUGCCCAAAAUUGUUGACAAGUUUGGUUGGUGCUCUUGGGAUGCUUUCUAUUUGACUGUUGAGCCUGUUGGGUUGUGGCACGGUGUUAAAAGCUUUGCUGAAAAUGGGCUGCCACCAAGGUUUUUGAUCAUUGAUGAUGGCUGGCAAAGCAUUAACAUGGAUCAUGAACCAGCGUUACAGGAUUCUAAAGAUUUGACAACUUUAGGGUCUCAAAUGCUUUGCAGACUCUAUAGGUUGAAGGAGAAUGAGAAGUUUGCCAAGUACAAAUCGGGCACCAUGUUGAGACCAAAUGCGCCGAAAUUUGAUCAAGAGAAGCAUGACGCGAUGUUCAAAGAAAUGGUUGCCUUAGCAGAGAAGAAAAGGAAGAUUAAGGAAGAAGGAGGUGAUGUCUUAGCUCUCCCUUCGCCAAAAACUAUUGAGUAUCUGAACGAUGAUGAAGAUGAUGGUCAAGAGAGAGGGGGGUUGAUGGCUUUGGUGAGUGAUUUGAAGGAAAAAUAUCAAACACUUGAUGAUGUAUAUGUGUGGCAUGCUUUGUGUGGUGCUUGGGGAGGUGUUAGGCCUGGGACAAUUGCUGGGCUGGAGGCUAAGGUCACUAGUGCUAAGUUGGCUGCUGGGUUGCAAAAUACAAUGAACGAUUUGGCUGUUGACAUGAUAAUUGAAGGAGGGCUUGGGCUUGUAAAUCCAAAUCAAGCUGCUGAUUUGUAUGAAGCUAUGCAUUCAUACCUUGCUGAUGUUGGUAUCUCUGGUGUUAAAGUUGACGUUAUUCAUGUAAGUUUUUUUACCAAUUAUUACCAUUGAUUUGCUUUUGUUUUGGUUUGUUUAAUUCACGACACAAACACGAGCAUCAUUAGCAUCAAUCAUAAUCAUUAUGAACCAUAUUACUGUAUGUUGGUAUCUAGAACUAUAGGCUAUGUAUUUUGUGGGUAUUAUUUGCAUAAAUGGAUUAGCUUCAAAUUUGUUUUUCCUUGCAUGGGUUUGUCUUCCACUAUUCAAGAUGAAGUCUUAAAGCUAUAUUAAUUACUAAUUUAAUUAAAAAAAUCUCUUUAAAGUUACUUUUAUUAUUUUUCCCCCCAAAAGUCAUCAUUAUCAAUAUGUUCAUGGUCUCCUAACUGCCAUAAUCUUAUCACGCUCAUACUGUUGGCAUCAUCACCAUCAUGAUCAAUUUAUCAUGCAUGCUCUUUAUUAUAAUAAAAGCAUUUGGUUUUGCCUAUGCUGAACUUGUAAAAUCAUCAAUAAUAUAUGAUUGGACAGAGGAUGGGAUGCAUGUUUUUCUUAUGUACUGCAGAAAUUUUCAUCAGGUGAGCACCAUUUCUCUCUAGCAAGCAUUUUUGGGCAUUCCAAAAAUAUUACUAAAGGCUGGAGAUUAGCAAUUAGAGAAGUUUUUCUUAAUUUCCCGAAAGAUUGAACUGAUUUUGAAUGGUCUGUAACUUAUUUCCCUGUGAACCUUUUACUGAAACGAAAAAUUGUUUAUAGAGGGAAAAGAUCAUUCAAUCGGUUCAGUCUAUAAAAUCUGUCAUGAAGAUGUUAAUUCUUUUGACAGGAUGUGUAAUCUCCAUCGGACAGACGAAUCCAGGAAGUCACACCAGAAACACAAGGGAGCCAACUUUAUGACAAAAUUGAAAAAAAAAAAAAAAUCAAAAUUUUGGUCUUAUCUUAUGUAUGCAAAGGGAGCCAACUUUAUGACAAAAUUGAAUCCAGGAAGUCACACCAGAAACACAAGGGAGCCAACUUUAUGACAAAAUUGAAAAAAAAAAAAAAAUCAAAAUUUUGGUCUUAUCUUAUGUAUGCAUAUGUUCUCGUACUCUGCUAAUCUUUUUAACUGCAGCUGAUUUAAACUUAAACAAAGUAAUACGUUUAAUAAAGUCCUUUUCAUUUAGCUUUUUCAGGAUAGGAUUGUGGUUGUGCCACGCAUUGCAAUGUUGCAAAAUUUGGAUUGAAGAACCCAUUUAUAGAAAUAAACUGUAAAUUAUAAUCUCUUCACCAAUUUCACCAAAGCUAGCUUAGAAACUGUCAGGCUCUAGCUAUGAUUGUUCAAAAUUGGUCUAUAGUAUUUUUGAAGCAUAGAGGCUUUGGCGAACCUUGUUUCACAUUACAUUUCUUGGAAAAAUUAUAGGAUAAAAAAUGAAAAUGAAGGCAUCAUUAUUUGUUAACAUUCUUUCUCUUCUUCUGAUGAUGUCUGGUUUUAUGCUCUACAGACUUUGGAGUAUGUGUCUGAGGACCAUGGUGGCCGUGUCCAGCUUGCCAAGGCAUAUUAUGAUGGUCUGAACAAGUCUCUUCAGAAGAACUUUGCUGGAAGUGGGCUAAUUGCAAGCAUGGAGCAAUGCAAUGACUUCUUUUUCCUGGCAACCAAACAGGUCUCCAUGGGCAGAGUUGGUAAUUUUUUACUACUACAUCAUUUGAAAACACUAAAAAUUGAUUUCAUAAGUUAAUUCGAAUGAUAAAAGAUCUAAAAUCUCUUUGUAGGUGAUGACUUUUGGUUUCAGGACCCAAAUGGCGACCCGAUGGGAGCCUUUUGGCUACAAGGAGUUCACAUGAUUCACUGCAGUUACAAUAGCCUGUGGCAGGGCCAAUUUAUUCAGCCUGAUUGGGACAUGUUUCAAUCAGAUCAUAUAUGUGCUGAGUUUCAUGCUGGAUCAAGAGCCAUUUGUGGAGGGCCAGUGUACGUCAGCGACAAAGUUGGCCACCAUAACUUUGAUCUCCUGAGAAAGCUAGUUCUUCCCGAUGGUACCAUUCUUAGAUGCCAGCAUUAUGCCCUUCCUACUAGAGACUGUCUCUUCGAGAAUCCGCUCUUCGAUGCCAAAACCUUGCUCAAAAUUUGGAACCUAAACAAGUUCGCUGGUGUGGUUGGUGUAUUUAACUGCCAAGGAGCUGGGUGGUACCCGGAAGAGCACAGAUGCAGGGCCUACCCACAAUGCUACAAGUCAAUAUCUGGGGUUAUAUCUGCAGACGAUGUUGAGUGGGAGCAAAAAGACUCAACAGCGGUGUACAGAAACACCGAGCAAUUUGCGGUGUACCUUCACAAAUCUGAUAAUCUGACCGUAGUAAAAUCCAAUGAGCAAAUCAAUAUCACUCUGCAACCAUCUUCCUUUGAGCUAUUCACAAUCUCCCCUGUGCACAGGCUCAACGAGAGGGCUAAAUUUGCACCUAUUGGCCUUGAGAAUAUGUUCAACAGUGGGGGGGCAAUUGAGUUCCUUGAGUAUGUAAGCAAAGGGGGGCUUUACAAUGUGAAGAUUAAGGUUAAGGGAACAGGCAAAUUCUUGGCUUACUCAAGUGAAAAGCCUAGAGAGAUUAUUUUGAAUGGAGAGGAUGUUGAGUUUGAUCGGUCAAGUAACGGAAUCCUGGGGUUUGAAGUGCCGUGGAUUGGUGGAGGGUUAUCUACUGUUUAUAUUUCAAUAUACUAAGCAACUAUUUCCUUUCUUUGUUUUUAGACUUUUUUUUUUUAUUUUGGAAUAUUUAAACAUUGAUUGUAGAAUUUUUAUUAAGAUUUAAAGAUAUGUUUGUAACUAAUUGUGUUUUUGUUGGUAUAAUUUUAGAAGUAAGAAAUAUAAUUAUUUAGUAAUUUUAUUAAAUUACAAUAUUUCUCAAUUUUAAACAUCUAUUGAGACAUUGUUCUUUAAUUUAUAUCCCAACUAAUGUAAGAAUAAUUAUAAAUGGUCAUGUGUUAAGAUGGCAUGUAUACUAUUUUCGUUAGUUUUUUUUUUAUCUGAACCACAAGGUAGUCAUGAAUGAGCUCCAACUGUGAAAAACACUUUUAAACCCGAUUUUUAUUAGUUUGAAUACAAACUUUUAUCGUAAUCCGAUAAGUGCAACGGAAUUUAUUCCGCUAACUACGACCCUAGGAACUGGGAAUAUGCUCAAUCUUCAUUUUGUACCUUUAUUUUUCUAAAGCUAAUUAGUAAAGAUUACGUGUAUGAAUUGCCGGACCACUAUUAUUGUGUUACAUGUGCUUGUCUCAGGCGCCUUAGGAAAUUAACUUUUCAAGUAAAUCAAAUCAUUAGUAAGCCUCAAGCCAAAGUUAAAGCUACAGCUAACAACAACAAAUGAACAAACUUCAAAGCAAACACAUCUUCUUUAUCGUCUUGUUUUAACUUUCAAUAAAGCAUUAAAAUUAUGAACAAGAAGUGAAACAUAUAAUUAUCAUUAAAAUCAACAAAAUCCCGAAAGAAUUCCUAUUAUUUACCUAGUUUGCAGAUCCCCACUUUGCCCCUUCAUUUCGACUUAAUUAUUUACCUUAAUAACCCCAUUUUUCUUCAAUCCCAAGGCCACCUUAAUUUUUCCAAACACCUUGCGUGCAAUCCCACUUGUAUUCUUCUCUUUUUUCUGCUUCAAAACUCCUUCUCCCUUAAACGGCACCGUCUUCCUCUCAAACUUAACCUGCUCCGUUAAACUCCCCAAAGAAGCCCCGGUUCUGCUGAACGCCGUUACUAGCUCGGGAUACAACUGCACAAUCAAGCCCUGAAACUUCUCGGACACGUCAACGCAACCACCGGGUCCAGGACUAGAAGCGCCACCACCAGACGACCCCUCGUUCAGAUAAUACCCAACUCUCACGUGACCACUUAAAUAACUCUUGCAAGCUGACAAAAUCACGUGACCUCGUUCUCUAAAAUGACUCCUCACAAAACCCUCGAAAUUCUUCGGGGGGUUACGAAGUAAAAAUGUCAUCGACUUGCAAGAUAAAAUGAAGACGUCUUCAUUAUACGCCGUUGAUUUUUUCUCCCAAAUACUCCGACCCGGCCACAUUCCGUGACCCGGUUCGUUGAAAUACGGUUUCUCGUUCAAAACAAGAGCUUGAAUGGAGACCAAAACCUGAAGCACCGUCGACUCGUCAGGGUUCCAUUUCUCGCUCUUCUUCCCCGUCCACGUGUUCAGCAAGCUCAGACAGACCCGCCCGUUCGCGUAUAGGUUCGGGUUGAGCCGCAACCCGAAUGAGCGGUAAUGCACCAUAGGCGGAUGGUUCGGGUAAUCGGCCGGGAAGGCGAGAUCAAAGAAGAAGAGUCCGUCGUGGUACGGCGUGCCGGCGGUGCCGACUAUGACGGCGCGAAGGAGAUCGAUCCGGUUCUCGUAAACCCGGACGAAUAUGGAUUCGGGUAAGUGCUUUUCGAGGAUUUUCCACUCUUGCAUGAUCUUCUUGUGGGACCCCGCUGGGAAGUGAUCCCUGCCGUUCUUUUUUGUGAAGCUUGAGGUGAUGUAGUGGUGGUCGGACACGUCUGACACGACGUCGAAUCGGGGGAAGGAGAUUGUCUCUUCGAUUUCGCCGUUGGGCUUUUGCGGGUUGGUGUUUAUAGUGAGAGCCAUUUUCGUUUCUUCGGUCUCUGUUCUGUUCUCAGUGAAGAAGAGUUUGUUCCCACUUCCAGUGUGGAUAAAAUGUGUGUUUUUUUUCACUUUCUUUACAUUUUUUUUAAAAAGAAAUUUGCAGAAAUGGUCUAAAGUUAUGCUGAAUGUAUAAAAGUAACUCAUUUAUUAUUUUUAUAUUUUCUUGUUUUAUUAGUUAAAAAUAGACAUUGCACCCUGAGCAAGUGAAUGAGAUCGACAUGUCGAUUGACAUAUCGAUGACAUGCCAAAUCUCUGAACAAUUGAUGAAUGAUCGACUUGUUGCGAAUCUGUUAAAAGAGACAUAUUAAUUGUGAGCAUCUUAUAUGUCCGAAAUGCAUAUUUUUACUACUGAAGUUAAAAAAGAAAAAAGAAAAAUGAUAAGGUGUUACUUCUAUAACUUGAACUUAAAUUUUCCCUUUUUUUUGUGACUGUCAUUUUAGGACUAUACGAGGAAUGGGAUUCUGGCCCCUGGUUUUGAUUGAAAUGGACGGUGAUUAAAGCACUUAAGGUUUUUUCAUGCAGUGAGAUUUUGUGGCCUAACAUCACAUGGUCCCACUGGGGGUAAUGCUGAGUGGUGAAGUCUGACGGUUGAUUUUAUAUUUUCCGAUUUUGAUCAUAUGGGUUACGGGUUACCAACUCCCUACUAAAUUGGCAAUAAAAAAAAAAAGCUCGGCUUUUUUUUUUUUUUUAAUACUGUUAUACAGGAUUGUAAGUAUUACAAUUAAUAUUUACAAACAGAUUCUACAAUUGGGACCUUCAUCGUGGCAUGUACUCCUCUGAAGUGCUGCCCAAAUUCUUCAAACCCUCUCAAAUAUUCGAGGGCUGUCCACUCUACUCACCUUUUGUGAGGAAUAGAUUGGCUCCACUCAAUUAUUUGAUAAUUGAGGAAGGAUUGUAAAUAAGCCCCAUAAAUGCUUUCAUGGAGGCUCGAACCCUUGCACUCAUUAUUCUAAGUGCAAGGGCUCUCCCACAAAAAAAAAAAAAAAAAAAAAAAAAGAAAGCUCGGCUUGAUACAUAUAAAUUGGAACCUUUAGAGACGCGAGCAAAGAGUGCAUGCACAAUUUGCUCGUUCACCCAGCAAUUUUUGAGGCCCAAUGUGGAAUCUGUGACUGUGAGUGGCACAAUUCAAAAUCACUUACCGUUCUUCAAUGCAUUAUUGCUGCUGCCUGCUGGCAACUUGUCUUUUACAGUGCUUAUUCUCCAACUCUUUCGAUUGUCUUUUUACCUAAACCCUAGCUGUAGCUCUAAAUGUGCUAUAUGUUUGCUUUUUGAAAGUGGUUUUAGUAAACAAAGACGGCAUCUUACCUGGCCUUUAGCUUUUCCAUUUUCUCUACUAAAGUUGAAGAAUUGUGUGAUGCCUAGAGUCCGAGUACUCCAGAAGUUCACUAAGUUAAUGAUUGUGUUGUAAGAAAACCACUCAAUAAUAAUUUGGUGAUAAAGCACUUUCCUUUCAACCUAUAUACUACCUAAAUUGGGGUUGGGUUCUUAAAUUUAGGACUGUGCUAAUAUGAAACCGUCCGACGGUAUUGUAAGUGGUUAACCACCUCCCCACAUGUUGAAUUGUAGUAUCAUAAGGUUGAUUUAGAAAAUUCAAAAUUUUUAAUUGUUAAUAUUAGGAAAAAAAAAGAAAAAAAAAGAUUGUGCUAAUGUGUAGUUAAAGGUAGUGCAAAAUGGUAAACAGGGCCAUUGCUACAUCUAAAGAAUUGUCGAUUACCUUUUGCUUGGUUUAAGUCUCCGGCCUUUACUCUGUCAAAAUUACCAACAAACUUAAUCAAAAUUAAUAAGAAAUUGACUUAGAACACUCUUUAUACCAUAAGCUUAGUUCUUUGGCUACUCAGCAUGCCUAUCUUAAAACAUAAAAAUAAUUCAGUUUCCCAAAAACACUGAAAUAUACCAGGACUCUUCUUUAUUGGGUGCUAGUAUCGGGUUCCAGGUUCUGCUAAGAAGUUCCAAUCCCAGCAAAGGCCCCGUAAAGAUUCGGAUAAACUUUGUCUACGACUUCUUGGAUAAGCCUGAUACACAUGAGGGUUUUGCUUCACUUUCAUAAACCCGUUUUCAGAAAACAAACUAACAGUCACAAUGCCAUAUCUAUACUGUAAGCAAGCUCUUAAUAUAGCGUGUGCGCGCUUCCCGAAAAUGUGCUACAACAAAGCCUCAAUAUUCUUGCGCGGAUUUCGACGCAAGAACAACAUUGAUUUGCAGGACAAUAGGAAAACAUUUUUGUUAAAAGGAUUCCUAUGUUACGUUUAACGUAACUUACACCCACACACAGCAACAGUACCUAUCGGUGGGAUCUACCACUAUUGCUGUGUGCACGCGCGCUAAGUUACGUUAAACAUAACUUAGCACUGGCCUCGUUAAAAUUCUUCCAAUAAUCACCUUCUUUUACAGUCAUCGGAGUGUUAUUUAAAGGUCUCUCAUUCAGGACUACUCCUGGAGUGAAAUUGGAACCCGAAGAAUCGUCGAUGCAGAAGGGUUCCGCCCUUCAUUUGCUUCAGCAUGCAACAGAUUCAAAUAAAAUUUUACAGUGUGGGUAGAAGCAGGGAUUUAGGAAAAGUUCAUGUGAUCGGCAAGUCACCAUUAGAGGCUUAUUGGGAUAAUCAUGGCGGAAUGCAAUGUCUAAGAAAAACAGUAUACUAGUUUUUGGAGAAUCGUUUUCUAUUAAUUUGGACAAGUCGAUUUGCUUAAACCAUAAUAUUAAUAGAUUGGAAUUGGGAAAGCAAAAACAAUUACACUCUUUCGAUGAUCAUUUGAUCCGCUGCAAGUCUAAUUUCAUCUUCUUAGAUUUUCUUUUUAAUUUUAUUUCCUGCACCCGGUGCUGUUGCAUUUUAAGAUAAAUGAUUCAUGAUUUUUUUUUCAAAUAAGUUAUAUUUUAACGCCAUAGGUAAAAACAAACAACUCCUAAGACUUCAUUGCAAAAAAAGGUUAAAAUAUCGUACACACUAAAUAACACAAAUCUCACCAAGCCACCAAUCUCACCAUGCUCCAUUCUUCCUCAACACACUUCGUUCUCAUUGUCGGCUCUCUCUCUUCCCUCCAAAUCUAGUAGCCAACUGUAUCUCGCUCCCUCACGGCGAGUCACUCUCUUGGGUCUCGCAGAAAAUUGACUUGUGGCUUUACUCUUUUCCCACCCCAAAAUCCACAGCAGCCGUGGGUCACAACUGUUGUUGUCUCGUCACCGACAGCUACCUCAUUAAUUCUAAAUUUGGUUGGCUUGAUUUUUUGAUUCGUGAUGCUCAGUUUAUUGGGCAAAUUUCGUUGACUUAAUUUAUUGAUUCUUGAUGCUGAGCUUAGUGGGCAAAUUUGGGUGGCUUCAUUUUUUGAUUCUUUAUUCUUGUUUUAACUGAGCAAAUUUGGUUGGCGUCAGUGGAGUGAGAUUUAUGGCGCUGUGGGUGAGUUGAGAUUUGGCAUGAGUGAAAGGAAGCAUGUGUGUGUUGUGUGAGUGAGGUGAGCUGCGUGUGUUGCAUGCGUAGAGACUCUCACCACAGUUAGAAUUUAUAAUUAGUACAAAACAAAGCAUUCCGUGCUAACUAUGGAGUUAGCUGUGGUGAGAAUGUCGCUCAUUCGCUAUUGUAAUUAAUGGUCGGCAAGCGGAAAAUUUUAAAGAAACAAAGUAAAAAAAGAUUCAUAAAUAGACGUGCAUUUCUAAACUCUUGAUUGGGAUCUUUGCUCUGUCAAAAUUUAUCUACAAAUCUAAUCAAAAUUAACAAGAAAUUUGAACCCUCUUCACACCAUAAACUUAGUUCUUUGACCAGUCACACUAAAGUACGCCCAUCUUCAACAGGAAAAAAAAAUUUCAAAAACCCUGCGAAAUUUACCAGAAUUCUUCCUUUUUUGGGUACCAAUUACUGGUUCCAGAUUCUGCAGAGCUUAGUUCUCAAGAAUUUUCCAUUUUUCCAUAAUUUUCUUGCAUACUUGACUUCCAGGAUAUGCAAAGCUGUCAUUCUCUUCUCCAGAGUUUUUCUCGCAAUAAUGACGGUCUGUGUAGUCAGUCACCACAUCAAAGUGCCUGAACUUUUCUUCUUUGAUUGUAUUGUUUUGCUGCAUCCCUGAAUUUAACUAAAAGAUUAAUCAAUCAAUUAAUUAAUUAAUUAAUUAAUGGCACCGUUGUCGAAGAGUUACAGUAGCAUUGUAGCAUAUGUAAUUAAUUUUGUAUUUAGUACUUUUUUCGCUGUUAUUAUUCCUAAUUAUACACAUAAUAAUAAUAAUACAACUACAAUGAAACAUAAAGACGACAAAAAGUGCUUGUAUGUUUGAUUCAACUAAUAAAAUCACUCCGGAUGGUGCAAGCGAUAUGCGUAUUGAAGCCCCUUCACGUAGACAUUAUGCUUAGAAAAAAAAAUGAAAGAAAGACACAAAGAGAGCUCGUCGUUUUAGCUUCCAAAUACCUUUUUCUGCAAAUUUUUUUUUUCCAGCUAUUCGUUGAGAAAAAAAGGGGGAUUUAAAAUUAUGAUCUUGUUGACCGUUCAGAUUUAAUAUUAAUUUCCAUCACUAACUCACCGAAAUUUUCUCAACAAAGUAGUCUAGAUUUUAAACCAAAAAUAAAAAAUAAAAAAUCUAAAAGGAAAUUUUCCUAAUAUCAGAGAAUACAAGCAAAAUUAAAAUAAUGUUCUGCCGAAAUAAUAAAAAACAAGGUUAAAAUUUUGCUGCAACCCGAAGCCAUUGCUGUUGUCUUCGAGAAUAUGCUCUGCUGGUGCCUUGUAAUGAACCAAGCCUAGCUUCCACAAAACCUACAACGAGAGACUGGCGUUGGGUUCUGACUUUUGUAUGUGCAUGUGUUUCUUCUUUGUUGUUAUAAAGUCGUACAAGAACUAAUAAGGUAUGUGAUUUAUAUUUUACAGAAGGGUAAAGUAAAUAAAAACUACUGUAAUUGAUUCCACAAUGAAAAAAUAUCAAAGGAAAGACGAAACAAAGUUUAGAACAAUUAUUCUUUUCUUGGUGAUCCGGUUCUGCAAAGAAGUUCCAUUGAUCUUGGUGAAUGCCACGAAAAGUUCUGGAUAGAUAUUUCUAUUACCGCCUCGAAUAAGCUUGAUCCUUAGCAUUUAACCGAAGAAGAUGACCCUUUUUCAGAAAACAAAACCAAUUCUCGCCGUACCAUUCGUGUAACCCUUCCAAGUACUUAACAUGGCGUGUGCCCGCUCACGAAAAUGUGACGUCACAAAACCUUCAAAAUUCUUUGGCGGCUGCGAAGCAAGAACAACACUGUUUCGCAGGACAAUACAAAUACAUUUUGACUAUAAUUCUCCCAAUUAUUUCCUGCUUUGAAAAGUGCUUCUCAAGUAGGAAGGUUCCACGGUUCAUGCCCUUGGCCAUCCCAAGUGUUCAGCAGGCUCAAACAAACAUAACCAUUUGAGAACAGAUUUGGGUUCAGGCGAAGCCCGUAUGAUCGGUAAGUCGCCAUUGGAGGCUUAUAUAUUGAGAUAUUCACAAGGGAAUGCAAUGUCAAAGAAGAGCAAACCGCAUGACAAGGCGUCCCUUGAGGACCAAUGAUUACAGCACGGAGAAGAUCAAUUCUUUGUUCAUAGACUCUCACAAAAGUUUGAUUCAUGAAGAUUUUUCCUGAAGAUUUUCCAUUCUUUUAUAUAUAUUUUUUCCUUGCUUACUCCACUUUCAGGAUCUACGAAGCAGUCUUUGGAUUUUCCAGUUUCGUUACUGCUGUAGUGAUGGUCCGAGUAGUCCAUUAUUACAUCGAAUUGUAACGAUGAAGGUUUAUUUUGAUUCCCAAGUUUAUUUUAAUUUCUUUCCAUUUUCUUAUUUCAAUUAGAAUUUAGGGUUAUAAUUAAAUUAAAAUUAAAAUUAUGUUGAACAACUAAGAAUAAGUAGUUUGCACUAUAUUUUUAAGUUAACAAUAAUAAAAUUAGUUUCAAUUCUCCUAUUAAAUCUUUUUCUAAAUUCAUAAAUUCUCUCUCUCUCUUUUCUCUUGAAUUUCUUAAUCAAAUUAAAGCAUAUUUUUCUUAUGGGUAAUUUUUACUUUUCUCCCUUGAGUUUUCAACUUUUUGUACUUAGAUGGCGAAGAUCCGUUUAUUAGUGAAAAUCCCCUUACAACUUGCAAACGUUAGUUCUCAGUUAGUUAGUUGUGAGCACUUUGGUAAUCUCAUUUGACAAGCAAAAAUUUUACACUUUUUGGUUGACAUGAGCAAGUGAGUUGUCUAAUCAGUUUGAAAAAUUGUGCCUUAAUUUAUAAAGCAAAAUUUGUAAAACAAUUCAAAGUGGUCUUUUCUCUUUCGUGAAGCACAGUCAUGACCUUUUCUCUUUAGAUAGGCACAUUUAAGAACUCUGUUUAGAAGGUAAAAAAAUCUUCUUUGUUGUAGAGUAGUAUCCAUUACUUAUGUAAAGUGAAUAAGAAACACAAGACCUGCAUUAUGUAUCGCUCUGAAUUUCGCCGAUGCUCCAGGAAUCCAAAUCACUUUGUUGAAGCCAAUAAAAAGUUAGUCUCUCACAAUUUUUUUUUUCCUAAUUUGGAGCAUUUUGAUACUACUCUAAGUGAAAAAUGUCGAGUGGGUGCUUGAUUUCUUAUUAAUUGACAUGGUUUUGAUGAGAUUUGUAGAGCUGUGAAGUAAAUUUGUUUACUUUAAAGUAGUAAUACUCUUAUCAUAUCAUAUGUUAUCAAACAACAUUACAAGUCCAGAAACUGUUAAAGACAUUUUCAACUUUUAUUUAGAAAGACGAAAAAAAAACUUAUCCAGAUACACUUAGUCAUUUAUAAAAUAUUUGUUUCGGAAAUCAUUUUUUUCACGAUUGUUUGUAGAAAAUAGAAAACUAACUUUGAGAAAAAAAUACUAAACACCCUUGAAUAUUAUUUAAUGUUGUAAUGUAAUUAAUGGAUUAUCUUCUCACUUAUUUUAGGCUGAUUUGCAUAUUGGUAUUGUAGUCACAUAUUAUUUGCUUUUGGUAUUUAUUACAUUUUAGCUUUUUUUUUUAAAAUAUAUGUAUAAUUUAUUUAUGUUGUUUUAUGGUAUUGCGGUGUGGUGUAUUAUGAUGUUGAAGUAGUAUUUUGAUUUAUGUGAUUUAUUGUUAUGGUUACAAUUGUCUUUUUAUUUGUUGAAUUCAAUUGUAAAUAACUCAUAUUUAAGGGGUAUAAUAGUAAUAUUAUGAUUGUUAUAAACUUGGCGCCAAAUGUUUCAGAUGUGUACAAAUCUAACCAGGGGCAUUUUAGAAUUUUUAACUUCCACUAACAGUCAACCACAAAAUUAACUAAUGGUAGUAGAGCUGGCAAAAUUUGACACGACCCAAUUACUCGACACGAACACGACAUAAAUAAAUGUGUAUGGGUCGUCAAAUUUAACACGAUUAUUAAAUGGGUCGGGUCCGGGUCAACACGAAUUUUUUCCGUGUCGGGUUUGGGUCAACACGAUUUUUUUCCGUGUCGGGUUUGGGUUAAAAUUCUUGACCCAUUUACCCGAUCAAUGACCCGAUUAUAUUUUUUAUUUUAAAAUAAUUUACAUAUUCUUAUAAUUAAAACUCAAAUACUAGAGAUGAUUUUCUUUUUUUUUCUUGACCCAUUUACCCGAUCAAUGACCCGAUUAUAUUUUCUAUUUUAAAAUAAUUUACAUAUUCUUAUAAGUACAGCAGAAAUACUAGAGAUGAUUUUCUUUUUUUUAUUCUUUAAAAGGGUGAAUAUAAACACAAUGUUUUAUUUAUAACAUUUUACAUAUAUUUAAAGCUUCAAUAGUGUAAAUGUGUAAAAAUUGAUAGACAUGUAUAUUUUAUAAUAUUGAUAUAUAAUAUUAUAUAUAUAUAUAUAUAAUUAAAACCUUAAUAGUGUACAUGUGUAAUAUAUUGGUAGAUAUGUAUAUUUUAUAAUAUCGAUAAAUUAUGUAUGUAUGUAUGUAUGUAUUUAUGUACAUACGUAUAUAUGAUAGUGUGUAAAUAUUUUAUGUAACUUUUGUUCAAUAUAUAGAUAUUAAACGGGUUAUUGGAUAACUCGAUUAUUUUUCUGUGUCGGGUUUGGGUCUCAAUAUUUUGACACGAUUAUUAAAUGGGUCGGGUUUGGGUCGAUCUAAAUUUAACACGACACGAAACUGACACGACAUGAACACAACCCGAUGACCCGUUUUACCAGCUCUAAAUGGUAGGGGGGUUUUUCACUAAUAAAUAAAUCUUCGCCAUCUAAGUACAAAAAAUCCAAAACUCAAGGGAGAAAAGUAAAAAUCACCCUUUUUAUUAUUUACCAAUCUUUCUUUUUCGAGAAAAAACAAAAACGACAAUUUUUUUAGAUAACAGAGCCAUAUUGUUCCUGGGUCCACUAUUAUUCUGGUCCACCAUUAUUCCCACAAGUAACACCCAUUAUUCCUCCAGAACAUUCAGAAUUACCUUUCAUCCCAAUUUUUUUUAAAAAAUGGUUGUUUCGUGGCCCCUCCUCCGAUAAGCCACUUCAGUUAAGUAACAAAUACCUUUGAGUUAUGAUAACACAGAUGUACUAUUGGCAAACAAAUUAAACAAAUGAAUCCGGGUCCAGUUACGUGUAACUGUUUUAAAAUAAAAUAUUAUUUUAUAAUUAUACGAUUAAAAUUAUAAUAAUUUUUUUUAUUAUUUAUCAUUUUAUAUGUAUGACUGUAAUUUGUAUUAUAUAUUAAAACAACUCUAAAAUAACUAUAACCUAAAUAAUAUAUUAAAAAACUCAUCAAUUACCACUACUUUUUUAUUAAAGUGCACUUUGAAUUCUCCUGGUCCCCAUCAACUACACACAUAAUUGAUAACAGAUAUAGAAAAUAAAAUAGAAGAGAUCGAGAAGUGGAAGAAAAAGCUCAGAAUUUUCCAUAAAAAAUCACCAAAAUUUUUAUAGUUUAAGGCUUUAAACCAAAAUAAUUAAUAAGGUUUCAUGGAGAAAAUAAAAUAAAAUAAGGGCCCUGCAGAACAGGAAAAAAAAAUAAAAGAACCUGAAGCCAUAGCUGCUCUCCAAGCUUUGCCUCCAUUUUCCCUCGUGCGAGACAUUCACAAAAAGUUUUAUAUGUAAUUAUAAGUUUUAUUCUUCUUACGAGUGCUAACCAUUAAUAAGUUCCCACUUCCCACCCCGUCAAGAUAAUCUUAAUUAAUUAUUUACUUUUAAUUUUUUCUAGUAGAGAGAACCCUAAUCUUCUAAGUCAUAACAUUGACUUUGGCUUUCGUUUCUCUCAAUUUUUGCCCAGAAGACUGCAACGACGUCGUUUCAGCGCGGACUCCGUUCAACGGUCAGAAGCCAGAACCCUUCACGAUUGUCGUCUUCAAUUGGUAAUAUUUGCAUAGAACACAGAAAUGUCCAAAAACAUUGGAUUUCCAACAUAAGGGUCGCAACAGGUUCUGAAAACACAACUUUGAUCACAAUAUUUUGAACCUUUCAAAUUUCAAAUAAUUACAUUGGUUUUAGGCAAAUUAUUGAUUGCUACUAAAGAUAAAUGAUUGAAAGAACCAAUUGAUUGAAUUUGAAAGAGUCGCGUAUAGGACAUGCUGAUCAUUUGUUGAAUUUACAACUUGGAAGAGGGUUUCUUUGAACUCCGAGCAGCUAUAAACUCCUGCAUUUUCUUAAACUGCUCCUUCGUCAUUCCAUUGUAGUAGUCAUGAGCCCGCUCCUGUAAAUAAAUAAAAGCACUAACGUGAAUCAAGUAAUCACUUGAAAUGACAUGUUAUAGUAACACCAUAUCAUAUGUCACAUCAGUUACGAUACAUACUUUGUAUUAUUGGGUCACAAGCAGUAGAUGACAACAUCAGGAACCUUGAAUGCAAGCAAAAUAUUACCUUUUCAAGCGCAAGAGCAUGACCCAAGUCCAGCUUCAGACCAUCAUUGAUGACUGCCUUAUACCUCAACACCAAGUCUUGAUUGUUCUUUAUCAUUGCUUCAGCAACUGCGUGCGCUUUCUUCAACAAUUCACCUUCUUCAACAACAUGGUUCACCAGGCCCCACCUCUCACCUUGCUCAGCAGUUAUAGGGGUAGCUGCCAUGGAUACUUCACGAGCUCUAUUUGGUCCAAUAAUGCGCGAAAGCUUCUGAGACAGACCCCAUGAAGGAAAUAUCCCAAAUCUGAAUGAACAAUUUGCAUAAACAUGCACGUUUAUAUAUUAUAACAUAAUUUACAGCAAAACAAAGGUAAUAAAAAUCAAUCACCAUCCACCACCAGGCACUUCAACAUUUUGCACAAAGUGGCUACUUUCUAUUUCGACAUUUGCCGUUGCAAUUGCAAUAGGCAUCAAGAAGUAGCCCCCACCAAAGGCUUUUACCACUCUAAAAAAUCCUUUGGCAUUCAAACAUUUCAACCGUUUCUUAGCAACACAUUCCUAUGGUGUUCUUAUAAACCAGUGAUGUGUACACUAGUACGUUUCCUAAGGAAACAAACAGCUUAACGUUUAAAACGCUUAUAAGCAGAUGCUUCAGAAAACAAAAAUCAUAACGCAUGCAUUGGGAUCUAUUUCAGAUUUCAUAAAAUUCAAACUUGGGCUCCAUUUAGUAUCAAUGUUUAGCAUGUUCGAUCGGUAAGCACUUCUUUUGCUCAGGUAGCUAAUUUGAAUUCAACUCACAGUUAUUCCAUAAAAAAUCUUAACCAUCCGUACCCAACUUCAAAAGCUAUAAUAACCGACCAUCCCCAUCAUUUGAUAGCUGCUGCUCAUGUAGCUACAUGCUUCCAUGUCACAGUAAGGGUCGUAUCCAUGGCACCACAAUGCCAUAUGAAGCUUUAAUCAUACUUGCUAAGUAAAAGGUUAUAACUUCAACUAUCAACCCACAAAAAUUGGCAAGUUACUAUCCACAAAUUCAACGAUUUUACUAAAUUUUCAUAACGGGGACCAUCCUCAUACUCAUAAAUUACAAAAUAUUCUAAAAAUUGACCCAAAAAAAAAAAAUUCCCAUCCAAAGGUAAAUUUCCCAUUAGUAAAAAUACAAAUUAACUAAAAGAAAUCUUGCAUACUAACCGAGCAUGGGUGUCAAUAAAUUUUGCGCCUUUAGCGGCAACCAAAACGUCACAAGCCAACGCGAUUUCGAACCCGGCCGUUACAGCGAAACCGGAAAUGGCCCCGAUGAUCGGUUUCCGGCACCGCUCCAUUUGUGCCACCGUGUCAGUCUCAACAUCCUUAACGUCUCCUUUAAACACGUCCUCUGCUGACGUCAAAUCCACGCCGGAGCAGAACGCACGACCCGACCCUGACAAGAUGAUAACCAGGACGGAUUCGUCCUUGUCCAACGACUUGAACGCCUGCGCCAUGUCCGCCAUCAUUGACCUGGUCAACGAGUUUAGCGAUUUCGGACGAUUGAUCGUGACGUAAGCGAUCCCCAUAGGGUCUCGGGUCACGAGGAUUAGAUUUUCGGAUUUAGUUUGGCCCAUCGUAAAUGUUUCCGGGUUUCAGAUUAGUGUUUUCGUAUUUUUUUGGCUUUUUAAUUGAGUUAAAUUUAAGGGUAACAGUGUUUGAUUGAAGUGCGUGCAAUAACAAAUUCCUUAUCGAUGAAGUGAUGUCGAGCUUGACUGAUAGCGACACGUGGUAUGGGCGGCACGGCACAAAUUAUAUGAUAUGGGCAAUACAACUGCAGUUCUCCUUAUUUGCAGAUAAUAUCCUUUAAAUGAGGGUCCGCCUAAGUUACAGCUGACGAAGGUUACAGCUAUCUUGUAAAAUUAUAGUCAGCCUCCUAUACUCUAUAUUAUUUAUAAUUUAUUCAUAAAUAUUAUAAAAUUAUUUGUAUUAUAAAAUUUCGUUUAGUCCCUUACACUCUGUUUUAUUUCAUUAAAACCUUUAGAAUACCAAUUCACUCAUAUAAUUUUAAAUUCCCAAAAUACCAUCCGUUUUAUUAAAAAAUUAUAAUAAUUAUUAAAUGAAUUAUAAGUAUAAUAAUUUUUUAUUAUAAAUUAUAACUAUAAAUAUAAUUAUAAUUUUUAAAUAGAUUAUUAUUAUUAUUAACAAGAAUAAAAAGUAUUAUAAUUAAUUAAUCUAUAAAAAUAAUUAAUAGUAAUUUUUUCGUUAAAUUGUUAAUGGUACAGCAGAACGAUAAUUAUUAUUAAUAAUUAAUUUUUGAACAAUAAUAAUAAAAAUAAUAAAAAUAAUAAAUAAUAAUUAUGAUAAAAAUUAAUUAAGGAAUUUAUAGUAAUUUGUUAUAAUUUAACUCAUUCUGAUUUUGAUUCUAAGAUAAAGUAAACACAUAAACAGUAAUAUAGCUUAUUCUAAUUACGAUUCAUACAGUUUAAGUAAAAAAUUUAUUCUAAUUCCAAUUCCUUAUUUUGAUUAUAGUCAUUCCAAUUCUAACUCAUUAUAUUUCCAGCUAAUUUCGAUUCUUGUUUAGUGAAUGCACUAUAAAAUUCGUAAUACUUAUGAAUAAAUUGUAACUAAUAUAGAGUGGUCUAAUUGAAUAUAGAGUAGUUUAUAAUUUUAUAGUGUGUUCACUAAACAUGAAUCGAAAAUAGCUAGAAAUAUAAUGAGUUAAAAUCAGAAUAGCUAUAAUCGAAAUGAGAAAUUAGAAUCAGAAUAAUUUAUUUACUUGAACUACAUGAAUCGUAAUUAAAAUGAAAUGUAUUACCAUUUACGUGUUUACUUUGUCUUAGAAUCAAAUUGAGAAUGAGUUAAAUAGUAACAAAUUACUAUAAAAUCCUUAAUUAUUUUUUAUUAUAAUUAUUGUUAUUGUUAUUAUUAUUAUCAGAAUAAUUUAUUUACUUGAACUACAAAAAUCGUAAUUAUAAUGAGAUGUAUUACCAUUUAUGUAUUUACUUUGUCUUAGAAUCAAAAUCAAAAUGAGUUAAAUUGUAACAAAUUACUAUAUAAUCUUAGAUUAAUUAAUUAUAAUACUUUUAUUCUUGUUAAUAAUAAUAAUAAUAAUAACAACAACAAUAAUAAUAAUCUAUUUAAAAAUUAUAAUUAUUUUUAUAGUUAUAAUAAAAAAUUAUUAUAAUUAUAAUUCAUUUAAUAAUUAUUAUAUUUUUAAUUAAAUGGAGGGUAUUUUGGGAAUUUAAAAUUAUAGCGACAAAUUGGUGCUCUAAAGGUUUUAAUGAAAUAAAACAUAGUGUAAGGGGCUAAAUGAAAUUUUAUAAUACAGAAAGUUUUAUAAUAAUUGUGAAUAAAUUAUAAAUAAUACAGAGUAUAGGGGUCUAAAUAAAAGUUUACGGGGCAGCUAUAACUUACGCGAACUGCAACUUAAGGGGAUCCUUUAAAUAAACCACUCGUUGCAAAAAUGUCUAAAUUCAUGGCGUGCGUUUACUAAUUCGAAGCGGAAUGGGUAGCAAUGGGUAAUUUUUAAAAACCUCCCCUGAGGUUUGGGCUUGUUGCAAGUAGAUGACGAGAAUCUAUUUAUUUGUAAAAAAUCUCCUACCGUCUUAAUUUUAACAUUGACCGUUAGUUGACUGUGCAAAGACAAUAUUGCCCUUAACCAUAGUUUGUAAACUAACAUAACUAAAAAAAAAACUAAAAUUGUUGGCGCGAAAAGCACAAACCCUAUUUUUUGACAAUUUUAUCCUUGUCAAUUCCAAAGAUUUACAAUAUCAUAGGUAACGAUUAUGACUAUUUCAUUUUCAAGUUUUUUAUUUUAUCUUUUUUGUAGGAACUUUAAGGAAAUAUCAAUAAUUUAAAGAGGAUUUUUCAAGUUUUUAAUUUUAUUUUUUUUGUAGGAACUUUAAGAAAAUAUCAAUAAUUUAAAGAGGGUAAAAUAGCCAAUAAUCUUGGUUUUUUUUUUUAGCUAUUUCCGUCUACAAACUAUUGUUAAGGGUAAUAUUGUCUUUGCACAGUUAACUAACGGUCAAUGUUAAAAUUAACUGACGGUAGAGAGUUUUUUACAAAUAAAUCAAUUCUCGCCGUCUACUUGCAACAAGCCCAAACUUCAGGGGAGGUUUUUAAAAAUUACCCGGGUAGCAAUUGAAAUACAUUAAAAUAAUAAUAAAGAAUAGAAAUUUAAAAUAAGUUAUCUACUUGAAUUACAAGAAUCAAAAUUGAAAUGAUCUGAAUUACCAUAAUAUGUUUACUUUGUUUUAGAAUCGGAAUCGAAAUUAAUUAAAUUGUAAUAAAUCGUUAAAAAGUAUUUAAUGAACCAUUAUCAUAAUUAUUAUUUUAUAUUUUAAUUAUUAUGAUUAUUUAUUCAAAAAUUAUUAUUAAUUAUUGUUAAUAAUAUAUAUUAAUUAAUUUAAAAAAUUAUCAAUAAUAACNNNNNNNNNNNNNNNNNNNNNNNNNNNNNNNNNNNNNNNNNNNNNNNNNNNNNNNNNNNNNNNNNNNNNNNNNNNNNNNNNNNNNNNNNNNNNNNNNNNNNNNNNNNNNNNNNNNNNNNNNNNNNNNNNNNNNNNNNNNNNNNNNNNNNNNNNNNNNNNNNNNNNNNNNNNNNNNNNNNNNNNNNNNNNNNNNNNNNNNNNNNNNNNNNNNNNNNNNNNNNNNNNNNNNNNNNNNNNNNNNNNNNNNNNNNNNNNNNNNNNNNNNNNNNNNNNNNNNNNNNNNNNNNNNNNNNNNNNNNNNNNNNNNNNNNNNNNNNNNNNNNNNNNNNNNNNNNNNNNNNNNNNNNNNNNNNNNNNNNNNNNNNNNNNNNNNNNNNNNNNNNNNNNNNNNNNNNNNNNNNNNNNNNNNNNNNNNNNNNNNNNNNNNNNNNNNNNNNNNNNNNNNNNNNNNNNNNNNNNNNNNNNNNNNNNNNNNNNNNNNNNNNNNNNNNNNNNNNNNNNNNNNNNNNNNNNNNNNNNNNNNNNNNNNNNNNNNNNNNNNNNNNNNNNNNNNNNNNNNNNNNNNNNNNNNNNNNNNNNNNNNNNNNNNNNNNNNNNNNNNNNNNNNNNNNNNNNNNNNNNNNNNNNNNNNNNNNNNNNNNNNNNNNNNNNNNNNNNNNNNNNNNNNNNNNNNNNNNNNNNNNNNNNNNNNNNNNNNNNNNNNNNNNNNNNNNNNNNNNNNNNNNNNNNNNNNNNNNNNNNNNNNNNNNNNNNNNNNNNNNNNNNNNNNNNNNNNNNNNNNNNNNNNNNNNNNNNNNNNNNNNNNNNNNNNNNNNNNNNNNNNNNNNNNNNNNNNNNNNNNNNNNNNNNNNNNNNNNNNNNNNNNNNNNNNNNNNNNNNNNNNNNNNNNNNNNNNNNNNNNNNNNNNNNNNNNNNNNNNNNNNNNNNNNNNNNNNNNNNNNNNNNNNNNNNNNNNNNNNNNNNNNNNNNNNNNNNNNNNNNNNNNNNNNNNNNNNNNNNNNNNNNNNNNNNNNNNNNNNNNNNNNNNNNNNNNNNNNNNNNNNNNNNNNNNNNNNNNNNNNNNNNNNNNNNNNNNNNNNNNNNNNNNNNNNNNNNNNNNNNNNNNNNNNNNNNNNNNNNNNNNNNNNNNNNNNNNNNNNNNNNNNNNNNNNNNNNNNNNNNNNNNNNNNNNNNNNNNNNNNNNNNNNNNNNNNNNNNNNNNNNNNNNNNNNNNNNNNNNNNNNNNNNNNNNNNNNNNNNNNNNNNNNNNNNNNNNNNNNNNNNNNNNNNNNNNNNNNNNNNNNNNNNNNNNNNNNNNNNNNNNNNNNNNNNNNNNNNNNNNNNNNNNNNNNNNNNNNNNNNNNNNNNNNNNNNNNNNNNNNNNNNNNNNNNNNNNNNNNNNNNNNNNNNNNNNNNNNNNNNNNNNNNNNNNNNNNNNNNNNNNNNNNNNNNNNNNNNNNNNNNNNNNNNNNNNNNNNNNNNNNNNNNNNNNNNNNNNNNNNNNNNNNNNNNNNNNNNNNNNNNNNNNNNNNNNNNNNNNNNNNNNNNNNNNNNNNNNNNNNNNNNNNNNNNNNNNNNNNNNNNNNNNNNNNNNNNNNNNNNNNNNNNNNNNNNNNNNNNNNNNNNNNNNNNNNNNNNNNNNNNNNNNNNNNNNNNNNNNNNNNNNNNNNNNNNNNNNNNNNNNNNNNNNNNNNNNNNNNNNNNNNNNNNNNNNNNNNNNNNNNNNNNNNNNNNNNNNNNNNNNNNNNNNNNNNNNNNNNNNNNNNNNNNNNNNNNNNNNNNNNNNNNNNNNNNNNNNNNNNNNNNNNNNNNNNNNNNNNNNNNNNNNNNNNNNNNNNNNNNNNNNNNNNNNNNNNNNNNNNNNNNNNNNNNNNNNNNAACUGAGGAUAAAAUAACCAUUUUUUAUUUUGGGUGGGAGUGGGGGUGGGGGGAAUGAUCCAUCCUGGGAAUCGGAGAUUGAUUCCCAACUUCGACUGAACCCCACAAUUCUGAUUUUGAUUCUUAUCUCCAUUUUGCAAAAUAAACACUUUCAAUAAUUCCGAUUCUGGAUUCUGAUUCCUCAAUCAGAGAAGAUCAUCAGUCUUUCCAAUUUCAUCUUUGGCAAUUCACGAAAUUGUUGUCUUAACGAUGUUUGGGGAUGAUAGAAAUUUCUAUGGAAACUAGGACAAUUUAUACAUAAUAUCUCAUUAGAGGAUAAAAUUUAGUGACAUUCUUAUUCCCAUCCUAAUUUUUAUUUUAUUUCUUUUAAAAUUUUAAUAAAUACUUUUAAAUCUAAAUUGUAAUAUAUGUAUGAAAAUAAUAAAUCUCAUUAAAUAUAAAAAUAAUAUAAAUAACAGUUAAUAUAAAUAUUUGAAGAUUUAUAAAGAUAAUUUUGUUAAUGAUUUAUAACAUGUGACCGAUAUUUUUCAAGCAACUUUAUUUAGCUGACCACCUAAGUUCGAGUCCUUGAGGAAGUAGGGGCUAAAAAACUGACUUAGACUUUACCCACUUCCUAAUAUUUUUCUUUAUAAAAAAAAAUACCACGUGAUUUUUGUGGAUGUGUUCAACUUUAAAGCUCUAGUUUUACUUAAUUUCAUAGACGAUCUUGUAAUUUUGAUAAUAUUGACUUAGUUUAAUGGAAAUAAUUUUUAUUUAUUUAUUUUAUUUUGAUGUUUUUGUAUUGGUAAUUCGAUUAUAUAUUUUUACCUUAAUAUAAUUAAAUCAAGUUCGAAAAAUAAAAGUAUCAAUUAUUCAGGAAUUGAAUACCUAGGGAAUCCCCAUACCCCUCUCCUCAAGCAAUUUUGAAGGGAAGAGGGAGGGUACGGGGGUAUAAAUACAAUAUCAGAUGGAUACAGGGAUGUUGAUCCCAGCCCUCUCCUCUUUCCUCCCUAUUGCCAUCCCUUACAACAUUUCUCUACCUAUAGGUAAAAAUGAUAUUUUUGCUUUUGUUAACUUCAAAAUCAAUAUGGUCGCUAUUUAAGUAUCAAAAACUAAACAAUAUUGUUAUUUGAGUUCUAACUUGAGUUUAAUGUUAUAUGUCAUUAAUUUAUUGAAAGAUGAAUUUUAUAACUCAUAAAAUUAAUAUUCUACUAUUCAAUAGAUGAAUGUUCUAUUAGGUAGAACUUUAGUUGAGGUUGAAAUAUUAGAAAUCCUAGCAUUACUUGAAACAAAAACUAAAAGUUGAUGCAUUUUGGCAACCAGCAGUAGGGGCGGACAAACCCAAUUCAACCCAAUCUAAUUUUGAUAAGUUAAGUAGAUUAUUGUGAGUUAAUUGAGUCAAUUUUUUAACCUAAUUAUUUGGGUUGGGUUAAUUAUAAUAAAUUCGUUUAACUCAAUCCAACCCAUUAAAUAAUAAUAAUAAUGAAGAUGAUGACGACGAUAUGUUUAUUUUCAAUUAUAAAAUCCUAAAGAUCUAAAAAGCUAACCUAAUUUUAAUUUUUUUUAUAUUUUUACAAAAAGAGACCAUUCACUCUUGUAUUUGCAACUAUAGACUCUAAUUCUAAAACUAAAAUCAAUCUCUCGUAUAAGUAAAUAUAUUAUCUUACAAGUAUAAUUUUGAAAGUAAAUUGGUUUCAAUUUCUUUUUAUUUUUUAGUAAACACUUAACAGUACAUAAUUAUUUAUCACUUUCAUUUUGUUACUCAAUGUGAUGCUAGCUAACUAUCUAAAGAGUCUAAAUUUAAAAUUAAAAAAAGAGAAGCGGAAAGCCGAGAAUAAAGUCCAUAAGCACAUUGUCGAAAUUUUCUUAAUUUUAAGAUAGCUGAUUUUUUAGCUUUCUUUAUUGUACCCUCUACAGUGAAUGAAAUUUUCAUGUUUAGUAGAGUUAUAUUUGAUUUUAAUAAAUUUCAUUUCAAGUUUUAUAUCUUUCCUUUAUUUUACUUUAGUUUUAUUUAAUCUUUAACCCAAUCAACCUAACCCAACUUGAUGAUUUAAGGGUUGGAUUGAAUUGGGUUAAACAUAUUUAUUUAAUUUGGUUGGGUUGAUUUUAUCUCAACCCAUUCAACUAUGGCCUGGAUUGAAUUUUCGCAAAUUUUAUCCAACUCAACCUAUACCCAUCCACAAGUAGUAGUUUAAUUGAAAAUUUGUCAAACAAAAUGGACUUUAGUGUAAAAUAUUAAUUUUUAUUUAAGCGAAGUCUACAAGAGCAUCAUUAAAAAAAAAAUCUAGGAAAACACGUUCUCUUUUGCAGUGUAAUGAUGAACCAGAUCAUUUGAAGCGUAGUCCUCCUUCCCCUCUUCUUUUUUUGGUAGUAUUUAUAGAUCAACCUUUUUUUUUAUUAUUACGUUAUUAUUGAAAGUUGCUUUGGAUGCUCUCUAAAAAAAAAAAGAGGAUGCAAAAUCUAAUAUUAGGUAGAAAUAAACAAAAAAUUUAGUAUCUAAAAUUGUUUUAAAUAUUUUGUUUACAAGUUUAAUUAUAUUGUUGUAAAUAUGUGUCAAAUCUCUUAAAAUUAAAUGUGCUGCAUAGUAAGGAUUUUUUUUUUUUCUAAAGAGUGUACAAAGUAAAAUUUAAUUUUUUUUUAAAAAUUUAGUAUACAACUAUAUAGAGUAACAAGUGUUCAAACUUUAAAGUAAUUUAUAUAGUAAAAAUAUCUCCUUUCUUUUAAUUUAGUUGUCAGCUAUGAUUAUAGUCGAAAUGCUUCUACCAGUGAAUCUUCAAUUAAUAACAAAUGUAAAUGUAUGAGAAAUCAUAUGCUUAUAAAAUUGGUACUUCAAUUCUUAAAUAUUGAAAUUCUUAUAUUCUUAUUAUUUUUAUUCGUUUUGGGUCUCAAUAAAUUGUAAAAUAAUAUAAAAUUAAUAGUGUUGACCUAUCAAAUUACAAAAAUAGAAUGUUUUAUCUUGCAACCACAUCAAACUUGAGCCAGUUGCCGAACGUUCAUCGGUGAGAUAUCAUCAGAAUCACCAUCCAAAAGUCGUUUUGCUAUGAUGAUAUUAGUAGCUUCAGAUGGAUGAUACGGAUCCCAGAACACAUACUUUGAUCUAUCACUGCAAACUUUAGACGAUGGACCACAGGGGAUCAGCCCUCCAUGGGUCCCAGCAACAUAGCAGCAAGAAGAAUUUGCAAUCUCAAAACCUGCGAUAAAUGAACAAAGCUUCUUUUAAGAGGAAAUCACAUAAAUUUAGAACGUAGUUGCUGUGCACGAUAACCAAAGUGACAUUGAUCUCAUAGAGAGCUAGUGGUUUCUUCUCACAAUUUGCAUAUGGAUUAAAAUUCACUCCACCUCAAUUUCGUAUAGAUAAAACAUUGAUAUAUAUAUUUAUGAGUCUAGUUCAAAUCUUCAUUUUGUAAACCAGAAGACGUUCUUACCAAGCACCCAUUUGACAUCUCAAUCCUAAACAAGCAUGAAGACAGUUUUAGGUUUAAAGCCUUAAGCUUUGAAGAGUCUGACAGGAUCCUGGAGCCUGGAGCUGUUCCAAACUAAAAUGUAAGACGAGAAAGGAUUCACAAAAUGCCUACCAUAUGAUCUGUAGUUUUCCAGGAUGUCGGCUACAAUGCGAUAAACAUCGGAAUAAACAAACUUUGAUUCCUGAAGAGAUGUGGUAAGCUCUGCAAUAAGGCCCUUCAACUCUGUGUUAAAUAACCGAGCCAUUUGAUUCGGCAAACUAACACAGCUUUCUCCGGCCGAUGGAUUCGUGUCCCUCUGAUAUGGAAUGCACCCAACAGGACCAACAUUUGCCACAAUAAUUUUUCUGGCACCCAAAUUAUAAAGUCUCUGCAGAGAAAUUCAAAUUUGUUGAUUUUUAACAUUUCAAUUAAACAAAUGCAGUGAAACUGAAAAUCGAGAGUUGUGAGAAAAUUAAUUUACGGUAAGCUGCAUCCGAAAUCUUGCAAUCAUGGCUGCGACGAAAAAAUCUGGGGAAACCAAUUUUUGCACAGCGGCUGAGAGGACAGGCGUGAAGUAAUUGUUGAUGAAAUCAUUGGAGCCCAUUGUCACUGAGAACAAAGACCUUCGUAAAAGCUGUAGAGUUGCAGGCUCACCUAUGGUUGAGAUAAUAUCUUGCCUUGUAUUUGCAAAAUUAUCUAACUGGGCAUCCAUGUUGAUUCGGCCACCCUGUACAUGCAAAAUUACAUAAAUUUUAUAUAUUAGACAGAUUUAAUGCAUUUAAUUGGCCAAUGGCUAACUGUUAUAUUUGUAGUAUAGUAGAUAGGAGAGAAGAAUUAAUGUGUGCAACUUCUUGUAAGCAACAAAGACACUUGUGGGCGACGAUUUCUUCUAAAUUUUUGUUUGUAGGCAGAUCCGGGCCCGCUGUGGACUCAAACUUAGCCGCAAUAGAACUAUUUAAGCAAAACCUCGGCAGAUUUCUAAUUGUAGGUAUCUGAUAGCCUGUAAACUUUUGAAUCUUAAAACACAUUAAGUUUCUUCAGAAAAAUGAAUCAGAAUCCUUACGAAGAUCUUGCCAGUUUGAUUUAGAAUUCCACCUCCACCAGAAGCAUAAUUGACGCCUUGGAGGAUCGAAUUUCCUCUUGUUGUGGGAGCCAAGUAAGGAGGACUGAACCCUUUGAAACCCAAUUCUUGUCCUGUUAAAAGGAAUGAAAAUUACAAACGUGUUAAUAUGGUCAUUUCAAAGAAGGAUUGGUGCAGAAAGAAUCAAGCAGAGGAGAAACAAAACUUGCCUAUAAUGUCAACAAUUGUUCUUCCAUUGGUGUAUCGACCCGUUGGCACCCCGAAAUCUAUCCCAUUUGGUACAUAAUUAGCCUUGGAGAGCGACACAAUGUAGUUGUUGUUUCCCACAUCAACUAAGGAGUCACCAAAAACAAAAUUUGCGGGAAUAUCAUAAGCUGCAAAGCAGUUCUUCAACAAGAACAAGAAUGUCAGUACUUGAGAAAGACUAGACAUGAUGCAAUUGGGGAAUUAGUUUUGAACUUGUGGGGCUAAAGAAGAUUUGCAAGAGUGUGAAGAACUCAAUGUACAUAUAUAUUUAUAGCAUGUGUAGAGAAGGUGUACUUAUACUGUAGCAAUGUUGGCUGUGUGGGUGAAAUUAAUAAGAGAAGAAACAACAAACUUCAGCUGCCAACAGACGAGUAUGGGGUAUUUAUGAAUGAAAUCUAUACCCCACAGUGUGUAAAAAAUUUGGUGCGUUAUUAGGCAAAGCAGAAUCUAGUGAGAACAUUAUGUUGUAUUCAAAAGUCAGCAUUAUAUUUAUUGGCUGGAUGGUAAGAAUCUCCCAUCAUGAAAGAGUGUGUAAAAAAUUUAUCUUGCUUGUAAAUUUGUAAAUAUUUAUGAUGUGGUGUACAUCUCACGAUUCUCACCUUUAUUAGGGCGAAAUAUUUGAACUCUCCUCGUAAAAUCAAAUUGUAUAUGACAUUUAAAAAAAAAAAAAAACAUUGAAUGCCCUGCAAAAUCACCAGCAGCUUAUGAAAAUACCAGAAACAGAGCUGCUGGUUUGUUAAGAGAGAACAGAAACGUUUUAAUUUUUUCAACCACCAGGAGACCUAACUUACUAUCAACAUUCAAAAGUGAGUAACUAGCAUCCUUGAAAUUUAAUGCAUUCCUAAAAAAAUACAGUUUCUAGCCAGUGGUCAUUCACUGUACUUUCGUCCCAAAUAUUCCCUUAAAAAUCAAGACUCUUAAUAAGAAAUUAAAUGGGAAGGCAAGUCGCCAUUUCUUAUCGCUUGGGGGGGUUGACAAGAUUGUGAAAUGAAUCAUGUAAGCAUUUAUUUCUUUUACCAACUAACUACCGUCCAAAGUAAAACUCACAGAGUCAUAGUAAUGGAUGAAUUAUAUUAUUAAAACAAAAAUGUAGUAUGAUGAUGGAGACAUAACAGAAUUCAAGAAAAGACUAAAUGCGGGAAUUUGGCAGUUGUCACCGCGAGUGAUGGUUACAAAAUAGGAUCACCAGGGUUCUUGUGUGUCUUUAAUUUGGGGUGUAUUCAGCCUUUCGGUUCGGCCAGUUCACUGUUCACCCACGGAUGUUUUGGGCCAGUUCACCCACAAGCUCCACUCCCAUUGAAGCUUCAUCAUUUAAGUCCACCCACAAGCUCCAUUGUGGCCCUUUUGAAAGACUUCAUAUGCCACACAUAUGACAUGUUGUUGGUAGCACAUAUGAAAGUUUCUUAGUACGAUGAGCCUUUUAACUUAAAACUAUAUCAUUAUCAUCCAUUCCAGCAGAACACUUUCUUUGGAAAUUUGUUUCUCAACCUCAAAAUGAACUAAUAAAAGGGUUCCUUUUUAUGGGUGUACUUGUUUUAGUUCUUUCAAUUCUAAAACUAAUUUCAACUCUUGGCAUCUUUUAUCACAAAAAUUCAAUAACUCUCAAUUCAAAAGAUUUAAGCCCCACAUAGAAUCUACUGGAGGCCCUCCAAAAUAGUGAGUACCCACCUAGCAGACUUUUCCGCGCCAAUUUAUUGACAUCCAAUUUUAACUUCCAAAAAAACCACUCCCCUAAAUAACAUCUUGAAGAUCUCUCAAUUCUUUCGCAACGAUCUCUCACAUAAUCCUUUCAAUAUCCCGCAAUUUCAUAAUGUCGUCCUCUUAUUUGCUUCCUUGGAGAUUUUUUCGAUUAAUUAACGUAGCCGGUGUAAUUCUUUUUCUCCAACUCACUUGUUUCUCCGAUCGUGUCUAUAGCUUGACCAAGAAAACUGUGUUUGAUGCUCCUCUAUUGACAGAAAAACUGAACACCAACCGGACAAUCAAAGUUGACAUCAAUGGCGACGGGGACUUUAAAUCCAUACAAGAUGCCAUCAAUGCGGUUCCUAAAGGGAACCCUAACUGGAUCAUUAUCCAUGUUCGAAAAGGCGUUUACAGGUAAUUUAGUUUAUUUAUUUUCCUCUCAAUUCUCCGUACUUAUUAUGUUUGCUGCAAUUGCGGAUAAGUUAACACACUGAUACAUUUGUUAAUUCAAUUUUGGCCUUUAGAGAGAAGGUGUACAUACCAGAGGACAAGCCCUACAUAUUCAUGAGAGGAAAUGGAAAGGGGAAAACGGCCAUUGUUUGGUCGCAAAGUGCUACUAACAAUAAGGACUCUGCUACAUUCUCCGUUGAAGCUCCCCACUUCAUUGCCUUUGGUAUCAGCUUCAAGGUGCAUGAAAUUUUUUUUUUUAUUUUACCCCCUUAAACUAUUUAAACAACAUCAUUCAACGUUGAAGAUUUCUAAAAUUAUUUGAGAACUAUCUUUACAGUACAAUGCUCCUGCCUCUCUUCUCCAUCGAAAUAGCUCAAGUUUUUGAAACUUUUCAUUGUUGAACUCUCAAGUUUUUGUUUAUGUCCCCCAACUUAUCAUAUAUAAUGUCCAUUACCGUAAAACUUAUGGUCAACAAUAGCGUGUAACCAUGUAACAGAAAACUAGAGGUUUUUAAUGAAGAGAGCAAGGCAUUGGCACAAAAAGGACUUGCACUGCACUGUAGAUAUACUCAGAUUAAUUAGAAGAAGAAGAAGAAGAACGUAACCCAUAGUUAUAUUUUAUUUUUUUCAUAUUUUUUGGGCACAGAAUGAGGCACCUACGGGAGUUGCAUUUACCUCGCAAAAUCAGUCAGUGGCAGCGUUUGUGGGUGCAGAUAUGAAUGCAUUUUACCACUGUGCAUUUUACAGUACCCACAACACUCUCUUCGAUUACAAAGGCAGGCACUACUAUCACAAUUGCUACAUCCAGGGCUCAAUCGAUUUCAUCUUCGGCCGCGGCAGGUCCAUUUUCCAGGUAACUCAGCUAGACAGCUAAUAUUCCAUUUUUGGAUCACAAUUUAAGCAAGUUAAUUAUAGAAAUAAUUUUGGAUUUUCACUUGCUGAUUGCAGAACUGUGAGAUCUUUGUGAUAGAUGACAAGAGAGUAAAGAUUCAUGGUUCUAUCACAGCUCAAAAUAGAGAAGAUAACACUGAUAAUAGUGGAUUUGUGUUUAUUGAAGGCAAAGUCUAUGGAACUGGUGAUGUGUAUUUGGGAAGAGCCAAAGGUGCCUAUUCAAGGGUAGUUUUUGCCAAGACCUACUUGUCUAGGACCAUUGUGCCCCAUGGCUGGACAAAUUGGAGCUAUGUUGGCAGCACAGAGUAAGGAAUUUAAUUCCAUUUUCUCAGAAAAAAAAUGAUACUAAAUCACAUCAAUUUGAAGAUUUAGCAUUAGUAAUUUUAAUUUUAAUUUUCUCUAAAAUCUUGAUGUUGUGAAUUGAAACAGCAACCUAUUCCAGGCAGAGUACCGGUGCCAUGGACCGGGAGCUGAGGCAAAGCACCGGGUCCCAUGGUCGAAACAACUUAGUGAUCAAGAAGCAGAAAAGUUCAUGUCCAUUGAUUUUGUAGAUGGCAAGAAUUGGCUACCAGCUUGGGUGUAAAUGUUACUUUUAGCAAGAAGUUGAUUCCAGUUUAGGAAACCAAAAAUGUACUUGAUUCGAGUGGUUCUAACUAGCCACCGAUUUAGCAUUCUUCCUUAAUUUAAGCUUGUUAACUUUGGUAUUUGUACUUUGGGCUUUAGCCUUAUGCUACAGGAAUUUGAUAGUAUCUUAGAAAAUGAAGCUACUUUUUACGUAUCACAUUCACAUUUACAGACUCUUACUAAUGAGAGAAUAAUAUUGGAUUUUGUAACUAAUAUCUCAAUAUUUUAUUUUAGAUAUUGACGUGGCACUUAUUUAUUUUAUAAAAUGAUAAAUUUCAUAACUUGUAAAAUUAUUUAUUAUUCUAAUUAUAUCAUUUGAUAUCAUACUAAUAAAUUAAUGUCAUUUCAUUUGAAAUUAAGCGAUAUACUUGAAAAGUAUUGAAUUACUUAUAAUAAAAAUUCCAUAUCAACCAUUACUAAUAUUACUAGUAUACAUUUAUCAUUGAUCAUAAUUUAUUACUUUUUACAAAUCUUUUUUUAUUUAAAAAAAAAAAUCUUCGGCCACAUAUAUAUAUAUAUAAGUAGCAAUUCAAAAUCUCCUAAUAAUAAUUGGAACUCGAAUCUACUCUCAUAGGAAUUUAUAUAUCUUUCCUCUUUAUAGGGAUCUACCUAAUAUAUAUAAUAAAAAAAAAAAUUCCGUGGCCCACCACAUCUUUGUGUCUUAUGCACCAUAGAAUUAAUUGUUCUCCAUAAGCAAAACCCAGAUCACUUUUAUUCCUAGAACCAAUCUCAUAAACAGUAUUCACGAUUUCGCAUCACCAUCAAAAUUACCACCAGCAACUUGCUUUUCAACUCUUGCGGCUGCAGCUUCAGCGUCAAUCAAACUGCCGCCACUAAUCCUUGCACUGUCCCCUAACAUUUCUGCAAGGAUUCCGCUGCGCGUAACGCCACGUACAAAUGCACAAUAACAGUAGUAGAUCUCACCAUAAAAAUUAUUACUGUGUGUUACUGUGUGUGUAGCUAUACGUUACGUUUAACGUAACGUAGCACCAGUCUUUCUGCAAUAAUAUUAGUUGCAUGUGGAUGAUAAAUCAUCUUUUAGAGCUUCCGGCAUUGGCUGUCCCAAUCGUCAGUACAAACAUUAAAGCCACCAAGCUAACACGUACAUUUUGAGUUUUUAGCCAUCUUUCUAUUGUAUCCAAGCAAACGAUCGAUCGAAAGGAAGAAAAGAAAGCUUGUUUUUAUGGCAUUGGCAGGCUCAGUGGGAGGCCCCAUUUGUAGCGUAUGAAAUAGUGGAAAAUAUUAAUGCAAUCUGUUCAUAUUUGUUCUUCAAAUGUUAUUGUCAUCGAUCAGGAGUACGUAAACGUAAUAAACUUGAAUUCCGAAGUAAAAAUUUUGAAAAGAUUUAAGCUCAAUAAUUUUAAGACGUGCAUAGUUGCACGAUAAAGAUGUAUAAGAAAUCCUUUUUUUUUUUUCCUUUUUUAGGGGGGUGGCGCAAUUGAUCCGCUUAAAUUUACUGUAUGUAUGUCUAAAAUCUGAAACACAAAUAGUAUAAUUGAUUUGAAAAGUUAUCUUGGAUCCAAUACACUAAGGUCAUGUUUGGAAUUAAGGUAUUGUAACUUUUAAACUACAGCUGCUGUAGAAAAAAAACUGUAAUUAUGAAAUAAAAAAGUUAAUAAUAUGUAGUAAAUAUAAAAUUUAAAUAAUAAAAUUAUCAAAGAUAUAAUAGAUUUUUCAUCAUAUAAAUAAAAAAUUAUAUCAACAUAACUUCCAAGUUACAACAAUUAGUGUUUACCAAACACUUUAAUACCGUAACUUUUAAGUUACAGCUGCCUAACCUCAAUACCAAACACAUUCUAACAAUCAUCAGUCAAGUAAGUGAUUAUCAAACAAAAUUUGAGAAUGGAUUCUCAUAAAAAAAAAAGGUGAUAAUCAGAAUAUAACCCUGGUCCUUUAUUUACUUUCACAUGCAAAUAGUGAGAAAGGGAGUGGAACUUUCUAUUUCACUAUUCAUAAAUAUUUAUUCCUAGUGGGAGAACUUAGUCAUAUAUUUAUGCUAUCAUUGGUUACUGAAUUCUAGAAAAUUAGGAAAUCGCCCACAAUUGUAUCCCCAUGCCACCACAUCUUGGGAGCCCUAAUUGGUACCUCCAUCAUUAAUAAUAUUACAACUAGCAGAUCCUAUACUCCCAUCACCAUGCAUCCAAACCAACUCGAUGUUCUACUUUUGCAGCUGCAACACCAACGCCAACAUUAAUCACAGUGCCUUUUUUAAAUCCUCCGUCCAUGUGAUUUGCCGCCGCGCGCGGCCAACACUUGUUUUUUCUCCAAAUCCAUCUUCAAAGCAGCCUUCAGAAGUUUCGUUUUUCUCAAUUUGCUUCCGGCAUUGAGCUAUCCCUAUAACCAAUAUUAACCGAAAAGUCACAGGCAGCACGCCGAUGUACUUGGAAUGUUUUCUCAUGUUUUAAAAAGACAACACACAGAAUGAGCAAUAGAUAUGAUUAUGCUCUUGCUUGGUGUUACAACGCUUGGAGUGGUGACCCUUAUUUGUAGUGCUAAGAGUAAUGGAAAUAAAUUAAACUUGGGAUACAUAGACGCAGCUGUUCAUCUUUAUUCCAUGCAGACGAGAAAAUUCAUGGAUCCACGUACGUGCAGCACAAAAAUUGUAUCGAUAUGCAAGAAAACAUGCAUGCAAACGCGAAAUGAUAAUGUGGCUAAACUGGCCAUAAUUUUACGCGCAAAGUUUGACAUAAGACGAAAACAUAAUUUCUCGCCAUUGAGAACAACUGCAUGCACAGAGAUAUUGAUUGAGAGCACGCGUCAAAUAUCAUUUUAUUUAUUCCAGAGAUAGGUGUUGUUACUUAUUGAGACACUUGGUAUGAAACAACCCAUGCACGCACAAGCAUGGUUUUAUAGCAGGCUCGCUAGCUAGGAAAAUAUUAGAAUCAAAAGUUGCCUCCAAUUCCCCCACCAGCACCACCACCAAAACCUCCACCACCUCCUUUGCCUCCUCCAAUGCCACCACCAGCACCAACACCUCCACCAAAUCCUCCUCCACCUCCUGCACCACCACCAGCUCCACCUCCUAUGUCGCCACCUUUUCCACCCCCAGCACCACCUCCUACGCCACCUCCAGCUCCACCUCCUAUACCACCACCUUUUCCACCCCCAAUGCCACCACCAGCACCUCCUCCAGCUCCACCUCCUACGCCACCACCAGCUCCACCUCCUAUACCACUACCUUUUCCACCACCAAUACCCCCACCAGUGCCUCCUCCGGCCCCACUUCCUAGUCCACCACCUUUUCCACCUCCAAUGCCACCACCAGCACCCCCACCAGCGCCCCCACCGCCUCCUAUUCCACCACCUUUUCCGCCUCCAAUGCCACCACCGGCGCCCCCGCCUAAACCACCACCAUGUCCACCUCCAGCACCAUCACCGCCUCCAAGACCUCCACCUGCUCCUGCACCACCCCCACCACCAAAACCACCUCCAAUGCCUUUAGAAAAUUCAUCUUCCUCAAGUUUCCUACAUUCCGAAAUUCCUAUGACCAACGCAAAGAACACAACCAUCACACCAACAGACUUAAAUAUUAGUUUCCCCAUAUUUCUAAAAGAGUCGAAGAAAGACACAAAUGCUUGCUUUGUGAUGCUAAGCUUCAAAGGCUUAGUGCUCUAUUUAUAGAGUAACCAAGUGGCACACUUUAUUGCGUGUACUAAUCUUACUUAAUGAAAUGUCCCAAAAUUCAACUCAGUUUGAAUAGAAUCGUCAAUUGCCGGUGAAAUAAUAGUGAAGCUGUCACCAUUACUCAACUACUAACCUAAUGCAUGUCUCCACUCACCACCGUCACAAGUAAUUUACAAUUAAACCAUAUAUUUCUGACCACUAAGAUUAUCAACUAAGAUUAUCAGAAGAAAAGCUCAAUUAAGAGAUUUGGAAAUAUGAUGGCAUGGUAUCAAAUCAAAUGGACCGCACUAUAUAUUAGCAAGAAGUUGAUUCCAGUUUAGGAAACCAAAAAUGUAAUUGAUUCGAGUGGUGCUACCGAUUUAGUGUAAGCUUGUUAGCUUUGGUAUUUGUACUUUAUCAAAAAAAAAAACAAAAAAACUUUGGUAUUUGUACUUUGGGCUUUAGCCUUAUGCUACAGGAAUUUGAUAGUAUCUUCCAAAAUGAAGCUACUUUUUACGCAUCACAUUCACAUUUACCAGCUCUUAAUAAUGAAAGAAUGAUAUUGGAUUUUGUAAGUAAUAUCUCAAAUUUUUAUCUCGAAUAUUGAUGUGGCACUCAUUUAUUAUAUAAAAUAAUAAAUUUCAGUACUUGUAAAAUUAUUAAUCAUUCUACUUACAUUAUUCAAUAUCAUACUAAUAAAUGAAUGUCGUUUCAUUUCAAACUAAACAAUACUACUCAAGAAGUGUUGAAUUACUUAUUAUAAAAAUCUCCAUAUUAACCAUUUUUUUUGCCAGCAUGGAAGGAGUGGAAAGGGGAAGCAUCUAUACAUUUAUCAUUGAUCAUAAUUUAAUACUUUUAACAUAUUUUUUCUUUUUAAAAAAAAUUAUUUUCGGCCAUAUAUAUAUAGUCGUUCAAAAUUUCCAUAGGCCGCCAAUGGGUUCAUAGUCCAUUGACAUCCUGUUCUUGAGCGCAUGGAUUCCAGUACUAGUAAUGACUCGGACACGACUCUCAUCUCAAUAAGGAUCUAUUUGUCUCUCUUCUUAGUGGGGAUCUACCUUAUUGUAAUGCAUCAGCAUAAAAAAAAAAAAAAAAAUUCCUUGCUCCACUACAUCUUUGGUGUCCUAUGCAUCAUAGAAUUGAUUGUUCUCCAUAAGCAAAACCCAGAUCACUUUUAUUCCUAGAACCAAUCUCAUAAACACUAUUCACGAUUUCACAUCACCAUCAAAAUUACCAUCAGAUCCUUGCUUUUCAACCCUUGCGGCUGCAGCUCCAGCGUUAGUCAAACUGCCGCCACUAAUCCUUGCACUGUCCCCUAACGUUUCUGCAAUAAUACUAGUUGCAUGUGGAUGAUAAAUCAUAUUUUAGAGCUUCCGGCAUUGGCUGUCCCAAUCGUCAGUACAAACAUUAAAGUCACCAAGCUAACACGUACAUUGUGAGAAUUUUGCCGUCUUUCUAUUUUAUUCAAGCAAAAGAUCGAUCGAAAGGAAGAAAAGAAAGCUUGUUUUAUGGCAUUGGCAGGCUCAGUGGGAAGCCCUAUUUGUAGCUUAUGAAAUAGUAGAAAAUGUUAAUGCAAUUUGUUCAUGUUUGUUCGUCAGAUGUUACUGUCAUCGAUCAGGAGUACGUAAACGUAAUAAAUUUUAAUUCCGAAUUAAAAAUUUUGAAAAGAUUUAAGCUCAAUAAUUUUGAGACGUGUACAUUUGCACGAUAGAGAUAUAUAAGAAAUCCUUUUUUUUUUGGGUGGCGCAAUUGAUCCACUUAAAUUUACUGUUUAUAUGUCCAAAAUCUGAAACACAAUUAUAAUUGAUUUGAGAAGUUAUCUUGGAUCCAAUACACUAACAAUCAUCAAUCACGUAAGUGAUUGUCAAACAAAAUUUGAGAAUGGAUUCUCAUAAAAAAAAAGGUGAUAAUCAGAAUAUCACCUUGGUUCUUUUUUUACUUUCACAUGCAAAUAGUGAGAAAGGGAAUGGAACUUUCUAUUUCACUAUUCAUAAAUAUUUAUUCCUAGUGGGAGAUCUUAUUCAUAUAUUUAUGCUAUCAUUAGUUACUGAAUUCUAGAAAAUUAGGAAAUCGCCCACAAUUGUAUAUAUCCCCAUGCCACCACAUCUUGGGAGCCCUAAUUAGUACCUCCAUCAUUAAUAAUAUUACCACUGGCAGAUCCUACACUCUCAUCACCAUGCAUCCAAACCAACUUGAUGUUCUACUUUUGUAGCUGCAACACCAACGCCAACAUUAAUCACAGUGCCCUUUUUAAAUCCUCCGUCGUGUGAUUUGAAGCUGCGCGCGGCCAGCACUUGUUUUUUUGUCCAAAUCUAUCUUCGAAGCCGCCUUCAGAAGUUUCGUUUUUUUCUCAAUUUGCUUCCGGCAUUGAGCUAUCCCUAGAAUCAAUGUUAAUAGAAACGUCACAGCUAACACGCCGAUGUACUUGCAAUGUUUUCUCAUGUUUUAAAAAGACAACACACAGAAUGAGCAAUAGAUGUGAUUAUGUUCUUGCUUGGUGUUACAACGCUCGGACCGGUGACACUUAUUUAUAGUGCAAGAGUAAUGGAAUUAAAUUAAUGCAUUCAGUUGAAGAUGUUUCUAUGACAGAAAUUUCUAUAAUGCGGUGUUUAAAAUUAUGUUGUCAAUGACAUAACAAACAUAAAUUUUGUAUAAGAUUAGUAAAUAGAAGGUAAAACAAGUAAAUUAAUAUAAGAGUGGUAAAUAUGUGUUUUAAAAUAACAAACAAAAUAAACAAUUAUAAAAAUAAUACAAAAUUUGUAAAUCAACAUUAAAAUUUAAUUAAAAAUAUUUUAUUCAUUUAAUUUAAUUAACCAAAGAAAAAAAUUCACUCAUCAAUUUGAAAAUAAAAAAAAAUUGUAUUGAGAACAAUUGGAAUAAGGAUUGAAUUUUAUUGAAUUAGUAUAACCAUGAGUUCUAUAUUCAUCCUAGGACAUUUAUAAUUUUUUUUAUCAUAGUAUUUGUUUAUUAUGAAAAAUUAUUUUUCUUGAUGUGGAUCAAGCCAAAAACAAAAAGAUAUUCAUAUAUUAGUAGACAUAUAUGAUAUAUGAUGUAGGAUGUUAUGUGUCGCGAGUAGAGUACUUUUCAGAGGCCAUAACUUGGACUACAUGUGUCUGUUUUUGGCAUAUAAUAUAUUAUUUCGAAGCUUACGACGAGACGAACAAAAUUCAAAACUGCCUAAGUCGUUCUGCCCUGUGGUCAAGCUGGAAAUUCUACUUCUUUCCUGGUCAUUUUAUAGUUUUAAGAUUUUUCCCUAUUUUUUCUAUUUUUUCUUGGAUUUUUAUCUUCUCUUUAGAAUUCGAAUUUGAGUGUCAUUUGUUUUUCUUUUCUUAUUUUGAUUAGAAAAUUUUAAUUAUUAUAUUAUAUUUCGGAUUUUCUUAUUUUGGUACAUUCACGAUAAUUAGGCUUAUUAUAAAAGAGGCUCAAAACUCUAAUAUUAUUCAAUCAAACUUUCAACAAGAUUUACCAUUAUUCAGAAACCUAGUUUCUUUUAUCAGCAAACUCAACAACGUUUGUGUUUUGUCAAUAUAUUUAUAACAUUGGAUAUAUUUUUGAGUUUUAUACAUAUUUCAUGUAGUUUCAAAAUUUGCUUUUGACUAUACUUAGGGUGCGUUUGGAAUUGAGGUGUUAUAGCUUUUAAGAUAUAGCUACUGUGGAAAAAAAUUGUAACUAUGAAAUAAAAGUUAAUAAUAUGUAAUAAAUAUAAAUUUUGAAUAAUAUGUUAGUCUAAAGGGCUACACAUAUUGUAAUUUUGAUGAUAACAAACAUAUGUAUUAAGUGAUUUAAUAAAUAUUAUAUUUCACAUUUUCAUUAGUUUUUGAAGGGUAAUAUUUAUACAAGUGAAUCAAGUGAAAUCAAGCUCAAGACACUCAACGGACAACGACGAAAUCAAGAAUAAAGUUUAGAGCUCAACGGAUAAAUUAGUGUGAUAAAUUCUUGUAAAGCCGGUAUGAUUAAAUUGAUGCAUGAUUUAGCAUUUGAGAAGCUCAAGAGAUUAAUUUAAUUAAUCACUUUUUAUAAACUAAAAGGUUUUAUUUUUAUAAGAUAAAGCACCUUGUGGUUUUGAGUAAUUUGGACUUAAAUGCUAAGUUUUAAAAUCUUUGAUUUUAAUAAGUAUUAUUAUUAAAUUUCGGAGUUGGACAUUUUUACAAACAUUUGAAAUGUUUUGGGUCAUACUAUAAUUUAUUAAUAGUUUAGACUAAAGUGAAAGGUUUCGAGAACUUUGAUAAAUAUGGGUAUUAUGUUGAAAAGGACUUUUUUGUGAAAUAAUAAUAUAUUUGGGGCCAUGUCAUAAUUUCAGAAAGUUUUGAGCUGACAAUCAUUAUUAAGAAAUUUUGAAAUUGGACCUAUUUAUAAAGUUUUAUAACAUUUAGGCCAUAGUAUAAUUAUAUAAAGUUUUGGGCUAAAGUGUAAUUUUAAUGAACAAUGUUACUAUAGCAAAAUUCAAAAAUAACGGUAAUAUCACUGUUCAUGAGUGGCUAGUUGGAUAAAUCAAGCGGCUAACCGCUUGGGCGCUGGAAUUUACCUAUAACGGCUAACCGUUUGGGAGCUGGAAUUUACCUAUAACGGCUAGUUUUCGGACUUUAACUAUAAAAACUCAACUCUAACUUCAUUUUAAGAACUAAUACAAGGAAAAACAACGUCAUAUAACAUAUAUUGAGCUUCCAUUUCGUAAAUCAUCAUUUGUUGAAUCAUCGUUGAGCUAUAAUUUGUUAUCUACUCUUAAAGAGAGUUUCAUUGUUGUGAUUUUCAUUUCUCAUCAAAUUGUGAGUGUAUAAGUGUGAGAAACACUUGGGGUGAAGAGAUUGGGGAGAUAAUCUCUUGUUGUAAAGGUCCAUUGACAUCUUGGAAGUCAAUUGUAAACAUUUGAAGCAUUGUGAGGCUUGGAUAGUGAAAUCCUCAAGCCGGGUGUGCUUGAAGGCGUGGACGUAGGCAGGGAUAGUCGAACCACGUAAAAAUCUUUGUGUUUGUUUUCUCUUCCUUUACUCUUUUAAUAUUGUGCUUGAUUGAAUUUAUUAUUUUUUAUUUGAUUAAGGCAAUAGAUUAAAUUGUUGUGUGAAUUAUAUUGCAUAAUUUUAAAAUCCCAAUUCACCCCCCCUCUUGGGUUGCAUAACUUGCAUUUCAUAAUAAUUUUGAUAAAAUUAUUAAAGAUAUAAUAUAUUUUUCAUCAUAUAAGUGAAAACCCAUAUUAAUAUAGCUUCCAAGCUACAAAAGCUAGUAUUUACCAAAUACUUUAGUGCUGUAACUUUUAAACUACAGCUGCCCAACCUCAAUCCUAAACGCACCCUUAAAGAUUAUUUGAUGUUGUUUAAGGAGCUUCAAAAUGAUAAAAAACAUGAAAAGUAUCAUUUUUUAAAAAUCUAAUUUUGAGAUAAAUUUUAUCCUUAACAAAUCAUCACAUAAAUUACAUAAACUCAAAAUUAUCAUUAUUCAAUUUAGAUAUAAAAUCAGAAAAUAUAUAAGGUAAUUAUUAUUAUAAUGAGUUUUUAAUUUGUAUUUGUAGGUUUUUAUUUUUAUCAAUAACUCUUAUAUUAAUUUAUUUGUUUUACCUUCUAUUUACGAGUCGUGUGUUUUAUUUAUAUAAUUUUUGUUUUAUUUUUUAUUUAAUGUUGAUUUACAAGUUUUAUAUUAUAUAUGUAAGUUUUUGUUUUGUUUACUAAUGAUACACUAAUUUACCACUCUUAUAUUAAUCUACUUGUUUUAUCUUCCAUUUAUAAUUCUUAUAUUUCAUUUACCUAAUUUAUAUUUUAUUUUACACUUAUUAUUGAUUAACAAGUUUUAUGUUAGAUUUGCCCUUUGUUUUGUUUGCCAUUGAUACACCAAUUUGACACUCAUACGUUACUUUAGUUUUUUUUAAUCUUCCAUUUACAUCAUUUAUAGUUUAUUUACACUUAAUAUUGAUUUAAAAAUUUUAUAUUAUAUCUGUAAUUUUUUUGUUUACUAAUAAUACAUCAAUUUACCAAUAUUAUUACGUUGAUUUUAUUUAUCUUACCUUCCAUUUACAGGUCUUGUGUUUUAUUUACAUAAUUUAUAUUUUUAUUUUACACUUGAUUUACACAUUUUAUGUUACAUUUGUAAGUUUUUGUUUUAUUUAUAAAUAAUAUACCAAUUUGCCACUCCUAUGUUAGUUUACUUAUUUUACCUUCCACUUAAAACUCUUAUGUACCAUUUACAUAAUUUAUGUUUUAAUUUAUAUUUAAUAUUGAUUUAUAAGUUUUAUAUUAAAUUUACAUGUCUUAUGAUUCAUUAAUAAUUAAUGUUUGAUUAUGGUAUUAAUGCCAUGAUUUUGAUUACGACAUCAUAAACUGAGAUAAAAUUAGGUUUUACUUUAAGUUAACAUGAAAGUGGCAUGUGGUUUUUUCCCCAAAAAAAUAAAAAUUAAAUGGUUGGAUUGGUAUUUAUUAGAUUUGAACACAUAAGUCCAUAAUUAAUCCAAUAACAUUGGAUUUUCCGUUUUGCAAUCCAAUACAAAAAAUGGUUUGGUUUCGAUUAGAUCUAUUAGUUUGAUUGGAUUGAAUUAAAUCUUAAAUACCUCUAAUUUGUUCAACAUCAAUUUGUUUCAUUUGAAUUUAUGGAUACGCGGGCUCAAUUUGAUCUUUAAUAGAUCUCUUCAUACCGGACCUAUUGAUAAUAUACAUGAUCUAUCCGAAUAAUAUUGGUUCUUUUUAAUUUCUUCUUCUCGUAACUUUUAUUAAAAAAAAAAAACUACAAUCCUCUAGACUUUGCUAUAUACAGAGGUUAAUUAAAAAAAAAAGGUCUUAAAAAAUUUUAUAAAUUAAGUUUCACUUUCAAUGGAUUAGAAAUUUUGAACUUGGGAUGCAUAGAUGCAGCUGAUCAUCUUUAUUCCAUGCAGACAAGAGAAAAUGCAUGGAUCCACGCACGCGCAGCACAAAAAUUAUAUCGAUAUACAAGAAAACAUGCAUGCAAAUGCAAAAUGAUCAUGUGCAAAAACUCGGACGCGAGAGUCACGACCUCUUGGCUAAACUGGCCAUAUAUAAUUUUACGAGCAAAGUUUGAAAUAAGAUGAAAACAUAAUUUCUCGCAAUAAACCUACCAUUGAGAACAACUGCAGGUAUAGAGACAUUGAUUAAGAGCAUACGUUAAAUAUCAUUUUAUUUAUUCUAGAGAUAGAUGCUGUUACUUGUGAGAUACUUGAUUUUCUCGCUACAUAUCUAUGAAACAGCCCAUGCACGCACAAGCACGGUUUUAUAGCAAGCUCGCUAGCUAGGAAAAUAUUAGAAUCAAAAGUUGCCUCCAAUUCCCCCACCAGCACCACCACCAAAACCUCCACCACCUCCUUUGCCUCCUCCACUGCCACCACCACCAGCACCACCACCUCCACCAAAUCCUCCUCCACCUCCUGCACCACCACCAAUGCCACCCCCAGCACCACCUCCAGCUCCACCUCCUAUGCCGCCACCUUUACCACCCCCAAUGCCACCACCAGCACCUCCUCCUAUACCACCACCAGCACCGCCGCCAACUCCACCUCCUAUACCACCACCUUUUCCACCCCCAAUGCCACCACCAACUCCUCCACCAUGUCCACCACCAAUACCCCCACCAGUGCCUCCUCCGGCCCCACCACCUUUUCCACCUCCAAUGCCACCACCAUGUCCACCUCCGGCACCACCACCAUGUCCACCUCCAGCACCACCACCAUGUCCACCUCCAGCACCACCACCAUGUCCACCUCCAGCACCACCACCAUGUCCACCUCCAGCACCACCACCAUGUCCACCUCCAGCACCACCACCAAAUCCUCCACCAGCACCACCACCACCAAGACCUCCUCCUCCUCCUGCACCACCCCCACCACCAAAACCACCUCCAGUGCCUUUAGCAAAUUCAUCUUCCUCAAGUUUCCUACAUUCCGAAAUUCCUAUGACCAACACAAAGAACACAACCAUCACACCAACAGACUUAAAUAUUAGUUUCCCCAUAUUUCUAAAAGAGUCGAAGAAAGACACAAAUUCUUGCUUUGUAAUGCUAAGCUUCGAAGGCUUAGUGCUCUAUUUAUAGAGUAACCGAGUGGCACACUUUAUUGCGUUUACUAAUCUUACUUAAUGAAAUGUCCCAAAAUUCAACUCAGUUUGAAUAGAAUCAUCAAUUGCCGGUGAAAUAAUAAUGAAGCUGUCGUCAUUACUCAACUACUAACCAAAAUAGAUGUCUACACUCACCACCGUCACAAGUAAUUUACAAUUAAACCAUAUAUUUCUGACGACUCUUAAUUCUUAUCAACUUAGAUCAUCAGAAGAAAAGCUCAACUAAGAGAUUUGGAAAUAUGAUGGCAUGCUAUCAAAUCAAAUGGACCGCACUAUAUAUUAGCUUUUCAGAGUAGUGGUACACACUGUCACAUGCGUAUUAAUUGAUCAGCUCUAAAGAAAUCAGAAAUAUAUUGAGGGGCUGUCUGGGCUUGUUUUAGAGAAGUUAAAAAGUGAUUACAAAAAAUUAAAAGUUGAUUUUAGUGUUUGAUAAAUUUUUUUAAAAUUUUUGGUAAAAUCACUUUAUCUAAAGAAUAGUUAUUUAAAAUUUAAUUUUGAAAAUUACUUUUUUACUUAAUGUAAUUCUAUAUAUAUCCUCUCAUAUACUAUAAAAUAUAAAAUUAUAACUAUCAUAUUCAAUUAGGAACUAAAAUCAUUAAAGUUGAAGAGAUUAUAAUUAUUAUUGAUUAUAUUAAGAUAACAAAAUAAAAAUAUUUAUUUUAGUUGUCAACUAUUGUCUACACAAUAAAAAAAAUUAUUUAUACAUGUUUAUAAAUGUCUAUAUAAAUUUUAUUCAACAUUAUAUUUAUUCUCAUCAUUUUCAUUCUUAUAAUAGAUUAAUAUAAAAAGAUGAUUUAAAACUCACAGUAUUUUAAAAAAUAAAAUUUAUCAAAUAUUUAAUUUAUUCUCUUUAAAUAUACUUAUUCUUAUUGCACAACUAGCAUCAAUUGUUUUAAAAGUUACAACAUUACCAAACUGGUCUUGAGAUGGGACAAGGCCUUUCCUGUUGCAUGCUAACUUUAUUAUUGAUUUUUUAUCUGAUAAUAUUUUAUUGUUAUUUUUUCAAUUGCUGUUGGAGGGAUAUUAUUACUAGCAUUUAAUUCCAAAACAAUAAUUUAUUAUUUUGAUACUUGGGAGGCCAACAAGACAAAGAUCCUGUAACCUGAAGAAUUAUUUUAAGAAUAUUUAAGAUAUACAUAUAUAAUUAAUAUGAGAAUUAGAGACGACAAUAUUCUGUUAGGUCUAUACCCAUCGGUCGUCGAUUAAUUCGGGUUGGGUAUGGGUCUCCGAAAAACUUCAAAAUUGAAAACGGGUCUAUUUAGGGAUUAGUCCAAGCUCCAAAUAUAUUUCGGUUUAGGUUUGAGUUAUCGGGCCCCAAAUCCAAAACCAAACUCGAACUAUUAUUUUUUUAAACAAAAUAUAUUUUAAUUUAAUCAAAUAAUAUAAAAAUUUAACAAAACCAUGUAUCUAAACUCACCAAUUCACAGCCUCGCCACCUUCUCUACCAUUUGAUCAAUCAAGGUAAUUUUUUUUUGCAGCAUUUUAACAUAUGAUAUCACUGAAAAUAAAAUAAAAAAUAAAAAUAAAUAAGAAGAAGAAUAGUUGAAGAAGGCCAAUUAAUUGCUUGUGUUUUCAUGCACAAAUAAGUCCAUAUAAUUUACAAAUAGAGAUGGCAAUAAGACGGGUUCGGGGCGGGGUUCAUGAUCCUCAAACCCAAAAUUAAUUUGAAGGCAAUCCCCAAACUCGUCCCAUACUCAAAAAAUUAUAAUUGGGGAUAAUUCGCGUAUGUCCCCAAAACUCUCCGAAUUCGGCAAGAAUUAAAAUGGGACCCGAUCUCCAUUUAGUUUCUUUUUUUUUUUUAAAUAAUUUUAAAUAUUCGGGAUUUUGGGUCUUUAAGUUCAACAAAUUAAUGAUUUCAUAUUAUGUAGCGGGACCUGAAAACAUUAUCCAUAUAAAUUUUGCAGAUCUGAACCAUGCUUACAUUCUCUUAGAUCUUCAUGUUAAACAUUUUAAAGUAGAUUUUGCUGCAAAAUCUACUUUGACAUUAUCAAUUAAGCUUAUAAUCAUAUUUAUGGCCUGGAAAAUUACAAAACCCAUCAAUUUUAUAGCCAGCUUUUUAGAAAACCCAUUAUUCAAGACAUUGACAUCUUAUCCUAGUUCCUAGCUAUUUAAUAAAAUUAUCUGUAUUAUAAAUGAUCAAAGUUCAUGGCGUUUUAUCUUGAAUUUAAGUUAUUCAACAGUCAAAAUUUUGUGCAUAUUGUCUGUAUUAUAAAUUAUCAAAGUUCAUGGCGUUUAUCUUGAAUUUAAGUUAUUUAACAGUCAAAAUUUUGUGCAUAUGUGCUUGUCGUUACUUCAGAUUAAUUAUAGCUUAUCUUGAAUUUAAGUUAUUUAACAGUCAAAAUUUUUGUAAACAUGUGCUUGUCGUUACUUCAGAUUAAUUAUAGUAUCUCAUUUUUUCCUGAUAAUCAAAUUCAUGACUCGUGGAUGGAAAAAGAGAGCACUGGUGCAUGAAUUUUUAACUAUAUUUUUUUCAAUCAAGGUAAUUUUUUUCUUUUUUUUUGCAUUAUUUUAACGGAUCAGGCUACGGUGUAACUGUGGUAUCGUGCCACAGUUGCAUCCAGUCGUUGGAUGCACUUGGAUUGGUGGGGUCUUGGCAUCCAACAGCUGGAUACAACUGUAGUACGGUAACACAGUUACACCACAGUUUUCCCUAUUUUAACAUAUAAUAUCACUGUAAAUAAAAUAAAAAAUAAAAAUAAAUAAGAAGAAGAAGAAGAAGAGUUGAAGAAGGCCAAUUAAUUGCUCGUGGUUUGAUGCACAAAAAGGCCCAUAUGAUUUACAAAAUAGUUAGAAAUUCAUGCACCAGUGCUCUCUUUUUCCAUCCACGAGUCACGAAUUUGAUUAUCAGGAAAAAAUGAGAUACUAUAAUUAAUCUGAAGUAACGACAAGCACAUGUUUACAAAAAUUUUGACUGUUAAAUAACUUAAAUUCAAGAUAAGACGCCAUGAACUUUGAUAAUUUAUAAUACAGACAAUUUUAUUAAUUAGGUAGGAUAAGAUGUCAAUGUCUUGAAUAAUGGGUUUUCUUAAAAAGCUGGCAAUAAAAUCGAUGGGUUUUGUAAUUUUCCAGGCCAUAAUUAUGAUUAUAAGCCCUAAUUGAUAAUGUCCAGGUAGAUUUUGCAGCAAAAUCUACUUUAACAUUAAUUGUUUAUCAUGAAGAUCGAAGACAAUGUAAGCAUGGUUCAGAUUUGCAAAUUUUUUUGGUUAAUGUAUUUAGGUGCCGCUACAUAACAUGAAAUCAUUAAUUUGUUGAAAUUAAAGACCCGAAAUAUUGAAUAUUUAAAAUUAUUAUUAUUUUUUUAAAAUGAGGAUCGGGUCCCUAUUUUAAUUCCUAUCUACUUCGAAGAUUUUCGAGAAUAUACCUAUAUUAUCUUCAAUUACAAUUUUUUGAAUAUAAAGCGGGUUUGGAGAUUGCUUCUAAAUUGAGUUUAAAUUUGGAGAUCAUGAUUUCCGUCCAUUGCCAUCAGUAAUGAAAAUCCCUCUAAAUUUUUGUCUGAUUCUGAAAUUUAAAAACAAAAUUGGGUAAAAAAUUUGAUGAGUGAUUAUCAAGUAAUCUACCCACAAUCGCAAAGAUGCACUAAUAUUUAGAUUAACCAAGAUUCUUAUUUUCCAUUUUUCACUUGUAAGAUAAAAAAACGUGUGAACGAGAGAAAUGAAGAGUUCAAAAAAGAAAAAGAAAAAUUGACUGCAUGUAGGUAAAGUCAAGAUUCAAAGACAAAGCUGAGAAUGGGCUGAGCUUGCUUACAAGAUUGGUCCAAUCAAUUCUUGUGAGCCCAAAAGAUUAAUUCUAUUGGGCCCCAUCAGAUUCGUUCGAAUCGGGUCAGAAAAUUCGGAUCCAGUCAAGGGCUAAAUUCGUUUACCAACACCACGCUGUCUCUGCUCUGUAAAACUGAGAAGUGUCACCCUUUGGAGUCCGCAACAAAAACAAAAGUUAGGGUUUUCAUCAGGACGAGAAUCCGAUUUUAUUAUUAAGAAAGAUCAAAAAAAUGGACGGAGCAGAUGGAGGGGAAGUGGAUAGAAUUGUGGAUUCAAAGGACCUACAGCAACAGAGUAAAGCUCUCGACAAGCUUACCGACCGUGUCGAGGAUCGCCAGCUCGAUUCCACUCGUGUGCAAGAGGUAAAUUAAUUAAUUUAAAUUAGAUAUUAAACGUAUUUAAAUUCCAUCAUUAAUGUGAUAAUUUCGUUAAAACAGAAUUUUUUAAAAAUGUUGUGAUAUUGCAGGCUAUGGCCUCCAUUGCUGCAUCAAAAGCAGGUGACUUGAAUGCUAUGAGAAUGAGGUUUGACUUUAUAAUAUAUUAUUAUUAUUAUUAUUAUUGGCAGUAGCUAGCUAGUUGAUUCGAACUGCUUGGAUUGCUUUUGCUGCAUAGUUUGUUUAUCUGGAGUGUGUGGGUGUGUGUGUAUAUCAACUGAACUAUUUACCAAAGCUUUAAUCUCCAGAAAUAUAUAAAUGAGUAACCAAAGAUAGGACUAAUAGUCUGAAGAUGUUGAUUAGUUGAGGAAUCUGUUAUUUAUUGUAAUAGCACUUAACAACCUUUUAUACUUAAUAGAGUUCAUUUAGAAGGAGAAAUUCUCAGUGAAUAACUACUAGUACUGUUGACAUUAACAUGUACCGUAAAACUGUAUAGUUUUAACAUAACUGCUAGCAGUUUGAACCGGAUACUAAGCACCCUUAUCAGAAAUGUACUUUGGUAAAACCGAUAAUACACAAUGACCUCUAUUAGGCGUAUCUUUGUAAUAGCAGUUAUAUUCAGGUCUUCUGAGGUGUGCUACUGGGGCUCAUCAUGAGCUCAAGUAUGACUACUCGUUGAGACCGCAAUCAUCAGCAUAUGAUGAGCUUGCUGGUUAGACCAUCACAUCAUAAUGCAGUUAUGUAUUCUUUAUCCAAUGGUUUAACAACAUAAUUCGCUAUAAUCGUGAUAAUUUAUUUUUAUCUUUCGGGUGUAUUGUGUUUCUUGAAGUAUCAUUUUAGAAAUCUGGACUUUUUAGUUAUAUGAUUUCAGUUAUUUCCUCUUUUACUUAGGAAGUUGUAUUCAUAUCCAUUUCUCAACAGAAUUUAGGUUAGCUUUUAGUUGCGUGAUCUUGACAUUGGUUGACUGUUGCAUGAACUCUGAAAAUUUAGUACCCUCAUUUUGUGAAUUUCUUUUAUCCAUUGACUUUUGUAUUUGGCAUGCCAAUAAUUUAAGCAAAUCAUAUUUUUGUUACUUACAGGGAGAAAGAAUUAGCUGCUGUUAAGAUCAAUGCAGCUGAUGUCGACAUAAUUGCAAAUGAACUAGAGGUCUGUUUCCCUCUUUGCAAGUCUUUAACACAAAUCCCUUUGCAUCUGCCAAAUGGUUCUAAUAUUUGUCUUUUCUUUGAUGUUGAGAACAGUUGGACAAGAAGGUGGCUGAGAGAACCCUACGCGAGCACAAGGGUGAUGCUGUUGCUGCCAUACGACACUUGCUUCGCUAGAGAACCACCAGCCCAGAGUUGGAAUUUUCUAAAAAUUCUGAGAAUCACAUUUAUUUCUGAAAAAUCAACCCAAAUACAUACAGCUAAGCCUUUUAUUCCUCCUCGCUGUCUGUAUAAUCUAUAGCCAAAACCAUUUGCCUUAGAAUUGAAGCAUGUUCUCAAGGUUGUUUGCUCUAAUGCCCAUUGCUUUUGUCAUGCCAAAUGCUGGUAUCAUUCGGGGAUAGCAAUCGAUGAUUGAUGAUUGAUAAUUGAUGGUCAACGAUUGAUGGUUUAUAAUUGAUAGUCGAUGAUUGUUGAUUUAAUGCCGUUCUACCUUUUAUCCGCAUUGCGUACCAUCUUAUCUUCAACUAAUAAAUGCCCAAAAGAAAUUUGUGGGGCUUAACACUUAGUAGGCCACAGCAAUGUUUGGGCUUCUUCCGAAGCCUUAAGGCCCGAAAGCUCUAGCAAUCACUUUCUGCUUGCGCAAUGUUUCGCCUAAUGGAGGCCUAUUCUCAUUUUGUUUAAAACAUUGAGGCCUUUUGAUUUAAACUCUCAGGGUUUUAAAGUAUCGAUCACGUAUCUAAUCAUAUUAUCAGUCAUAUGUUUAUAUCUAUCUUGAAAGAUUCAUAUUAUGAGAGAAUCUUGCUCUAAGAAAGCAGCAAGCACCACAAUUGAGUAAAAUUGCAUUUGCCAAAAUAUCUUCUUGGAAAAAAAAAAAUUUAUAUAAAAGAUAUCUCAUGUUUUGAUUUACCGAUAUCAGAAUAAAGAAUUUAAAGGUCAUUGUUGGACAAAAAUAUAAUAGGUCCCACUACGGCUCAAAUAAAUUUAGUUUCUAUACAGACCAUGAAGAAAUAAAAACCUAGUAGAAACCUACUAGGUGGCAAGACUUCAGGGAGCAAAAGGUUCUUAAGGUUUCUAGAAUCUUACUUUAAAACAACUACUUAGGAUAAACCUUCUAUGUUCCAAGGACAAAUCAUUUAAUACAAACCCCUAAAGGUUAUAAGGUUUAUAGGAUCCUAUUUUAGGAUAAACUUCCGAGGUUCCAAAGUUCUUAUGAUCACAGGAUCUUAGAAAAAAAACAACCCCAGAUUAAAAUGCUUCCUCGUUUAUUAUGUAGACAAGCUUGUAUGUUCAUGUGUCAAUUGGCAUAGGCACAAGAAGAUAAAUGUUGCCAAAUGUCACAAAAAUAAUGACACUUCUCAUCAAAGUAAUUAGAACUCAAGUCGAAUCAAUUUCAUCUACAAAUCUCACCAAACUAAAACUCAAGUCUAAUCAAUUUCAUCUAUAAAUGUCUCAUAUUCGCAUUGAAAGGUAAGAAAAAAAUUGACUCAAGAGGAGAAAUGUUGACUUUCUUUCUCUAAAUUUAUAUUUUUAAAAAUCUAGUGAUUGACUCGACCGUCAGAGGGUUUAAGCUGAUAAAGCUGGCGCUCUAAUCGUUUUCUUAUGUUUGCAAAGCAUUAUCGGGCAAAGAUAUCCUCAUCCCUUGAGGAAGUGGACUUCUAAGAGAAAAUUCAAAGGCUUAUUAGGAUCAAUAAGGAAAAAUUUAUCAUCGUAUCUAAUAAAGGGAAGCCCAGUCUUAAUGGAGUCAUCUUAAGUUAAAAUUAUCAUAUAAUUAGUUGGGAUAAAAUUUACACCAACAAUCAUGAUGAAUUUUCAACCAUGCGCUGACAUGGAAGAGUUAUUGCUUCACUAAGUGCACGUAAUUAGCAAGAUCAUGCGUACGGUUUAUAGAGAAUCUUGAGCGAAGAUUAUAGCCUCUCGUACAUUAGUUUCAUAGUGGAAUCAUACCGUAGAACAGUAAUUUUAAUUGUAUCUGCUCCACAAUUGCUGCUUGACGCAGACCGGCAAAUAAAUAAACAAAGCUAAAAAUGUUUUUGAGUCAUUACGCACAUAGAAUCUUUUAGCUGACAAUAAAAAUCAAUGUGGAGUUGGUAAAGAGUUGGUACAGACUGAGACCCAGCAAUAAAAGAAUGGCAACGCCACAACACCUCUACCCUCAUUCUCCAUUAAAAAAAAGAAACAAAAAAAUCUGUCAUGUUUCAAUUGGAACAUUCCAAAUUAUUUUUAACUUCAACUUAAUAGAAAAUUUAAAAAUAUAAUGGACAAUCUAAGGUUCUCAACGGAGAGUGAAGGCUCCGUAAUCCGUACCAAACAAAACAAAGUUGUAGUGUACACAUACUCCAAACGUAAACUAAUUGAACAUGUACCCCAACAACAAACUUAAAACGGUAUGAUGAAACGCAUCAUUUAAAAUUACGGGUUUGCUAAAGCUGAAAAAGAAAGCAUGUAUUGACAGUACAAAUGUUAAUAUCACUAAUCACUCUAUUUACUGGAGUGAAAAUUUGUGCUUUUUUCUGUACAACUUUCGUAAAGAGGUCCUGACAUUUCUCUCAUGCAGAGCCUCGAAUGGGUGACGUGAUUCCACCAAACAUGACUCCAGAUCACAAAGCACUACUGACAGAUACUGAAGAUUUUUGCUACAUCAGGUUAUAUAAAUAAAUAAACAUUUCACAGCCAAGCAAACUAGCAAAGCAAUCACCAUCAAAAUUAGACAGCUCACAUUAUGCCAACUACCAACCCUUUGGCCUUUUUAACUUUUUUUUUUUUUAUUUCUUUCAUUGUCUGGUAGCUAUGCGGCGCCAAUAGCACAAGCCUUUUGAGUGGCAAAUCUGUUGUAACCAGCUGUUUACCAGCCAAGAAAGUAAAUCUUUUGUGAAAAAUAAUGCCUGAUUCUUCUACUUGCAAUGACGUUGUUUCAGCAACGGAACAGGGAAACAAUGUGAAUAUGGUCUACAAUUCCUUCUGGGUGCUAUCUCCUACUGUUGAUCGAGAUGCCUGGAAGUAUUGUCUCUGCAGAUCUCGAAGCUUGUCCACCAGUUCCUGGAAUGAUGGCCUGCACUGUGGAUCACUGGUCCGACAAAGAGGAUCCACAUAUUAGCCAUAAUAAAAAUUUGUGUAUGUUCUAUGCUAAGGAACUACUAAAGAAAAAUGAAUAUAAAAGGAUUUAACCAUUGAAUAAGAUGAUGUCCCAAUCAUAACUACACUGACUUAAUGUAAGGAUUCCCGAAUUCCAACACCACUAAAGGUAUGGGAAUCCAUGAGAUCAAAUGCACUUAGACAGCUAUUAGUUAAGAGGACGAACUCAAACCUAAGCCACUAAUGUUACUCGACUAUAAGGAAGUUAUUGCACCAAAUCAUGAGCUCCUUAUUGGGCCACAGCAUUCUACCCCAACAUUCAUGGUUUUCAGAAAAAUCUCUUGUAAGCUGGGAAAAAUUGUAAUUGACAAAGAGGAAAUGGCAGUAUAUUUGUUGGUAUGCUCAUAACAUGGGCACAUGUAAUCAGAUUAAUUACCCCUAACAAUAUCUUCAUCCAUCAUGAUCAAUGACUGAAUUUCUCAUUUAUUUUUUCUGGAGGGCCUUUAUGGGAAGGUCAGAGAAGGUUCUAGAUAAAUGAAUAAAUAAGCACCUGUGCCAGCAGCUCUCAACUAUAGCAGCCCACCGUGGAUCCACAUCUUUUGGGAUCUCUAAGCGUUGGUUCAUGAACCCUACAGCUCCAAUCACCUGCAAGAAUCCUAAAAAAAUUGUUGUUCAUAUACAGAAAAUGCAUUUUAUCAUUACUGUUUAACAAGUUGGGGUACCAGAAAGAUUCAUUUAGAAUGCAUAUCAUGACCAUAAUUCCUCAGCCUGAGUAAUUUAACUUAAAAGGAAUGUCCAGAUAAUUUUGCAAAUGACAAACUGUACCUGCAUUGAGUUGAGAUUAUCCCAAGGGAUCUUCUCAGUGGCGAGCUCCCAUAAUAUAACUCCAAAGCUGUAUACAUCAGACCUAAUUUAAGGCAGCAAGAAAGAAUCCAUUAAGUUCGGCAUUUCAGGGGAAAAGCAGAGGCAACAUAAGGAGGGGAUUAUUUAAAUAAGAAGAUUCACAGUCAACUAAAUUUAUUUCUUUUCCCAGUUCAAAUAGUUCACUUACUUCUCAUCGGAGGGUUCAUUUCGGAGAACUUCCGGUGCCAUCCAUUGAGGCUAGAAAAGUUAAAAGGGGUAAACUGGUUAGAUUGGGGGUCAACUGAAAACUCAAAUUGCAAGGAAGCAUUAUAUAAAAAGUAAAUGGACUUAUUAGAUUGAUAAAAUAAAGGUCAGGAUGCAAGAUAAGUUACAGUUCCCUUCCCAGUCUUGGUGGUGAGAUAUGUCUCAUGCUUCAGACGUGACAGACCAAAAUCACCAACCUGUUUCACAUCAUAAUUAGAUAAGCUUUUUACUUAAUUACAAAUAUGAAUACAGAAAUUCCAAGGCAAUGGGAUCAAAAUGGUGAAAAAAAAUGGUAAAAACAAAAAUAUACAAAUUAAUGGCAGACCUUGACAGUCCAGUGUUUAUCAACUAGAAGAUUUGAAGACUUCAAAUCGCGAUGAAUGAUUGGUGGGUUGCAAUGAUGAAGAUAACUCACGCCACGUGCCUGCAACAAAUUGAAGCAAUAAAAGAAAACAUGAAUUAGUCAUGAGUUAGACCAAAGGAAGUACUAUCAAGCUAUACACACACGAGUCACUACCAUCAUGCCUAACACGUUGCAAAAAGAGACAUUACAUGAGGAAACAACACCAAACAAGUGCAAACACGUGGUACCACUGUACCCAAUAUGAUCUAAUCACCACAAUGAAAAUAAAAAAAUUCAAAAAUACUUAUUACUUACUAUAUCCAAAGCCAUAAGAAUACGCCGUCUCCAGUCCAGUUUGGUUGUGUUCCUCUGGAGCAAGCGAAACAAACUUCCUCUGCAUCAAUAACAUAUAAAUUUAAGUGAUGACCUUCGGCCCAAGGAGAGGACCAUGUUUUAAAAUUCCAAACAUAUUAAAUCAAUAGGAGUUCUACCCUGCAGAAUAUUAGGAGUCAUUGGAUGGGUGAACGGGGGAAAAGAAUAUCAUAGUGCUUCUGAAGUGAAGUAUUAAUCAAGGGAUUUAAGAACAUACCGUGGAAGGAACUCAGUAACAAUGCAUAGGCGCUGAGGUGAGGUCACAGCACCCAUAAACAACAGAACAUUUGGAUGUCGAAGUCUUUUCAUCAGAGAUACCUUCAUAGACAAACCAUAGAAAAAACAAGGCAAGUAAAAAAGCAACAAAUUAUAUUGAGAAAGAAAUUCACAGCAAGCGAUAAUCAUAAACAAGUUAAGAGGAAUCAAUGCAAAAGCACACCUCCUGUCUGAAGGAAUGUAUCACUUCAUCUGAAUAUUCCUGCCUAGAGAAUACCUUGACAGCCACAUCCUGCUAUAACACGUAGAUCACUGAAUUACACAUUUUAUCACGUGAAAAUUUUAUUUUGAUUGUUCCUUUUUCCAUCUAAAUACAAAAAACAUUAAGCUUAAGAAAAAUCCCAGGUGCUACACCGACAGCACUAUUUGCUAAAAUGUAAAAGAGCAGGGUGAAAACUUAUUGCACAAGUACAAACUAUAAGUUUGGGUUAAUUUGUAAAAUUUUAUCCAUAGGCAUAAAAAAAACUGGAAAACCUAUAUUUGGCAUAUAAGUGAAGGGGCAAGAGGUCUCGGGUAUUUUGUGCAAGCAAAAAUCUAGCAACAGUCUGUCAUUGGAAUGCAUGAUACCUCAUAUCAAAUAAUUCAGUAGGGAUAGUAUAAUCAAUUUAUGCAUGUUAAACUGAAUUAUUUAUUUUUUAAAUAUUAUUAUUUUUUAAAGCAGUUAAAUGGAAUUAGUUAAUCAAAAGUAGAGAAAUAGGACAUACUGAUCCAUACCACACGGCAUGGUACACAGUGCCACAAGAACCUGCGGAGAUAGGGGAAAAAUUUAGCAUUUUAUUAUCAAAAUGACACAUAAACAAGCAAAAGCAGAAGCAAAGCCAAGAUAUCUGCUGAGAUUCUGAAAAACAAAAAGGAACCGCAACCAUUGGCAAUGAACAAAAUCAUAGCUAAUGACCAAUUACCGUUCAACAAAAAUUCAUGAUUAUCAAAAUCCAAUAACAAUGCUGAGUAAAAAUUAGUCAUAAAUAAGUCAUGCCACUUAAGAACGUAAUAUUCUAGUCAUUCAUCGAAUAUCUUGCGAGCUUUAAAUGAUAUUACUAUUGCCAUUCACUUGAAAGAAGGUUACCUUGUCCAAUUUGUUCUCCGAUCGUCAAGUCUUCCCACAAUAUUUCAUAAUCCAAGCAGUCAUUGUCCAAAUCCACCUUAUUAACAGCACUACUGCUGGUACUUCCACAGCUGCUAACACUGCUUGUGCUGUUAACAUUAACAGAUGAGGACCAUGACCCCCAGGCUUCAUUAUUGACAGACCUAUUUCCUUCGUACAUGUGGCUUUCAGGUUUUGUACCAUAAGAGGGACUCUUCUGCUGAACUGAUUCAUUGUCUUGAUCACCAUGCGACCACGGCCAAGCAAAACGAGCAGUCUUUGCAUCUGAACCUUCCCGCUCAUUCCCUUUCCACGGCCAUGAUAAACCUUUCUUCCCCAUCCAUUGCUCAGCCUUAGAUGUAAUAAUCUUGUGAAUAGCAGGCUUUCCUUCACUCUCAUCACCAGAAUCUCUUACAGAUUUUCCUGGGGACUUCUCGUCAACAUGAGAAAAUACCCCAAAAGGACAUGGGGGUACGUCUCCUCUGGGUGUGCUAGCACCACUGGACAUUCCAUCGUCCCUAUGGUCAGAGAGGGCAGCAUCAGAGAAUCCAUGAUCAGAAUGAUGACUAUCUCCACUUCCACCUUCGCGAUCCAUGAAAUUAUCCCCUGUCCGAAUCCUCGACUUAACUUUGUUGCUCACCUUGGUGGCCUGCUUUUAAUAGUUCCACAAUCAAAAUAUGCCAAUCUAAAGCAAAAAGUGCAAAAACCAAAAGCAAAACUAACCAAAUUUGAUAUCUUUGAAGCAAUUGUAGCUUGCAGAGGCUGCUGAGAAUCAAGCCCAAGUUUAGCUGUAACAGUAUUCCUAGGCCUGUUAAUGUUGGAAUCAGUAUCCGAAUUCUUAGUAUCCCACAAUGCAGCUCUUGUUUCUUGAAACGGCCGAGAAUCAGUAGACACACAAACGAUCCCAACCAAAGUACCAUCAUCAUCAUAGAAUGGGGUAUUAGUUGCCACAACUAAAACCCUUUCCUCCGUUUUAGUCUUUGCCGGAAACUGCCCUGUCCACCUCUCUCCCAUCUUUAUACGAUGAACUAUAUCGUAGGCCACAUCAAAGUCCCGACCAUCAGUUAAAAGUUCAAUAGCAUCCUGACCAAGUGCCUCCUCAGCUGAGUAACCAUAAAGCAAUUCCGCUGACCGGUUCCUGCAUAAGCAAGCAUUCGCAAAUAAAAUACCCCUAACUUCAAAUUAAUACUUAAAAACACAUUUUCAUCUAUUCUUUAAUUUAAUCACAACCUCACUUCAUCAAAGCCAAUUAUAAUAGUUAUACUCACCAAUAAAUAAUACGAUCGCUAAGAUCAAAUAUAUGAACAGAUUGCCCCAUAGAUUGCAAAAUAUUCAAAUACUGCCUAUCAGUAAAGUUAAAAGCCGAUGGUCCACUGUUACUAUUUCCAGCAGCAUCACUACCACCACUAUCGCCGCCUUUGCUUUCGCGUUGCAACGGCGAGGAAUGUCUAAACGACGCCGAAUUGCUAGCCUUCCACGCUGAAGCAGCGUCCGGUCCCGUCCCGCCCCCUUUUCUCCUGGAAGCGGGCCCCGCCAACCUCGGCCGCCUCGGCGACACCGAAUGCGACCUCUGUUGGUGGUGAGUCGUAGUAGUAGUAGUAGUAAUAGUUUCCGAUUUCGGAUCGUUUGAGAUUUUCAACUUGGACAGCUCUUGCUUCAAGUGCUCUUGUCCAGCUUCUAGCUCUUGAAUCUUUCUUAGGAGCUCUUCAGCUGGCCCCGUGUUUGCGUCCAUUACAAGUCAAAAACAAAUACAAAACAAAUAUGUAUAAAGUUUCAAAGAUUCAAGAAACUUACGACUCCGAAGUCCAAACAAAACGAAGCUUUGUUUGUACAAGGAGAAAUGAAAAAUCAGUAUUCAUUUACUGAAUUUUUUUAUUUUAAUUUUCAUAUAUGUCUUGAAAACACUCUCUAGAAACUCCUCUUAUCUAAUUUGUGCAGUCAAUUCAUUGCAAUGAAAAUGAAUGAAGAAGAAAACAAGAAGCUCUCUCUCUCUCUCUCUCUUUUAUUUGGGGCUAAUUUUUAUUUUUUAAAUAUAUCUCUUUUUCAACUCCUUCCUUUUCCUUUCUUUUUAGGUCUUCAUUUCAUUUUGUUUAUUCUGCCUUCCUUUCUUUCUUUCUUCAACUUUCUCUCUCUUGUUUUGGGCGGUUUGGUUUUGUUUUUAUAUUGAGAAUAAUAACAAUGGGAUUCCUAGUUCUUUAUAUUUUCAAAAUUAAUGUUAUUGUUUAUCCAUUUCUACCAACUAGGUUCCUAACCCCACCACCAUCGCAAUUAACAUAUAAUAUUAGAUUUUUAGAAGAAUAGUCAAAAUUCAGUUUACUUCAAUUUUUGUGGUAAUGGAGUAAAGAUGAAAAUUACUAAUUUUUUAUACUUUUGAUUUAUGUGUUGAUUUUUCUUUUUCUUUUUCUUUUUUUACAAUGAAUUAAAAUCGAACUGAAUUGAUCAGUCCGUUCAAUUUAAUUCAAUUAUGUUAUUUUUUUAUCCACUUUUAAUUAUGGUCUUCUCAAAAAAUAAGAGUACAUGAAUGGUAACAAAUUAGUUCAGGCCAAAAAAAAAAAUAAAAAAUAAAAAAGUUUGAUUUGAUUUUUCUAAUUUUGAUGAUGUUAAAAGAAAAUAUAAUUUAAAUCCAAACAAGAUAGGGCUCACUGAGAAUGAACAUUAAUUAUAAAAAUGAUAAAAUUAAUCAUAAUUAUUAUAAUAAGUGGGAUUCAAAAAAUAAGUAAUUUGAUAAAAAUAAAAAAUUCAAUAGAUUUUGGAGGAUAUAAAAAUAAGUUCGAAUUAAUAAUGAGAUUAUUUGUGAUUCCCGGAAAUUUGGAUUUAUUUUUGCACAAAUGAACAAACUAUGUAAUCUUUUGUGAAAACAUAGAAAAGCAGGGGGAUCCUGGUGUUAUUACUCCUUUGUGUUUUAUUGAAUUUCACCUUUUAUUUUCUUUUUGUUUCUCUCUCAUCUAUCUCUCCAUUAUCAUUUGACUCCAACUAUUUAUUAGACCAGAGCCGGAUGUUUAUUUAUUCUACAGACCAAGCCGCUCUUUCCACGCGCCAAAAAAUCACGUGGAAAGUCAUGGCCUAUCGCGGUGCCUGAUUUUUAACUACUGGUCCAAUACUCUUGGCGCGUUUAGUACAAUCAAGAUUGGGAAUAUGUUGAAACUUAUUCGACUUUUAAUAUUAUGGCUUCUCCUUUUCAGCCAAAAGGCCUCCAUAUUGGGCUGCCCUAAAAGCGUAUAUUUUCACUUCUGUUUCCGAUACUUCCACGACACCCAUCUUUUGUGAGUUCAUGCAGAGUCAUUUAGAUAAUAAUAAUAUUAUUAUUACUUUUAAUAAUGGGUUUAAUAUAAUACCCAAAUUGAGGUUAGCUUCAUUCUUGGAUUACCUAAACAGCAAUUGCACAUUCAUUGGACUGACUUGGAUUUCACAACACAAUGAACUCACACCAUUGUUGAAAUAAAUUAAUGUCAAUUGUUACCUAGUAAAAAAAGUACUUCCCCGAUUAAUUAGCUAAAUUCAACUAGUAAAAUUUCAUUGAGUACUACAAAGGAAAAAAAAAACUCGAUUUGAGAUAAAUUUAUAAAGGAAUAACUAAAUUCAACCUGAUAAAUUCAAAAAAUCAUGAAUUAAAUCGUUAAUUUUUUAAUUUUAUUUGCAAAAGAGUCAAGAAUCGAUUGAUCAAUUUUUACAUGAUUAGUUGUGAAAUAUAUGUGAAAAUAAUCUAACGGAUAAAAAAAACGUACACUAAAAGACCUAAAACUCUCCCCUCUCCUAGUAGGUCAAAACAUUUCAAAUCGAAUUCCACUCGAACAAAGAAAAAAGAGACCUUAAACUAAUGCAAACGGGUACAAUUAGAAAAUGUAGUUUUGUUGUAUAGAGCGGCUUAAGAAGAGAAAAAUUAAGUUUGCUUUUGGGCAAGUCGAUCUUGAAAAAUGGGUCCGACUACGGUAUAAUAGUGGUACCAUACUACUAUUGUAUUCAGUCAUUAAAUUUAAUUAAAUAAAUAAAUCUAUUGAGAUUUAAUUAAAUAAAUGAAUCUAUUGAGAUUCAAUGGUGCACCGUAAAAAAGUUUUCUGCUCAAAGAAUUAUGCUUGAAAAGGAGAAGAAUCUUUAUGGCAACACUUUUUAAUUAUUAAUAUGUCUAAUAAAUAAGUCUCCAAGUCGUCAAAUUUCAAUUCAUUCAAUCUGAACUUCCUGCAAGAGAAAGCAAGCAGGAAUUAUAGCUCUGACUUUUUCCUUUUUUUUUUUCCAGACCCAUAUACAAUGUAGCGAUUUCCGUGUCCUCUUUCUUUAUCUUGGUCUUAUCUUAUCAAUUUUUUUUUUUUGGGAACUUGGAAACGAGUGUCACUCUAGAAACUUGUUUUUUUUUUUUUUCUUUUUUAGGUGUUUAAAUCUUUGUUUGCGUGCACAGCAUCAUUAAGCUCAGGGGGGCGCACGCACACAAAUUUAGUGUGACAAGAGACAGAGGCCCAGUUUAAUUUAUGGCUGUCAAAAAGUUUUCUAAAAAAUGGAAACUUCCAAAGCGUUUAUUGCGAUGCAUGCCAUCUGCCCAUCUCGUUAUCUUCUUCAUGCGUGACCCAUAAAUUUGGAGAUAAUGUUGUAAAACUCAACAUUCUAUUACAACUUUGAAUCGAUUGACCUUUUUCAAGUUCUGCCUCAUCACUAAUCAGACAGCAAAUGCCUCUGGCUUUUUCAUUUUUGGAACCUGUUUGGUAGGCUGCUUACAUAAGAUUUUACAUUGAAUCUCGCCUUGGAAUUAGGUGAGCGAACCAUUUUGUUUUGGAAAAUUAAGUCUAUAUAAACUUAUCAAGUUGUGUUUCUCAUUUGUUAAAGAUAUUCUUAUUUUUGCCUGCAAAUGGUCAUCUGGGUCAUUAUACGGGUGGGCAUUCGCGUUUUGGUUGGUCCUAAUUGUUAGCAAAGCUCAUGAACUUAUCCAUAUUCUUCUUCUUAUCUUCUGAGUUGCCCUAUUUAUAUGGAACGUACAAAUUCCACCACGUGAGCAAGAGAAUUUACAUUAUCGAACAUGAGAUAAAGUUCUAGCAUUCAGGGAGUAACACCGGACGAUAUGUUACAAUUAUCAUGGGAGCUUGAUAUGGUACACAUGUAAUAUAAUCUAGAAUACAUGCUUACAACAGGGGAAACAAGUAAUUUAAUCCGCCAGUCCGCCAUGACUUUUUGUUGUGAAACCUCUACAACCUACAAGACUACAACAAUCUCAAGUGAACCCAGUCAUCUGAAUCCUUGAUACGUGAGGCCGCACAACAUUCAUGAGAUCUGGAAGCUUCAUGUGCAAGGAUGUUGAUAACAUUACAGAGCUGGGUAACCAAAAGUUCAUAGGAUUAUUAAUGCCCAUUGGCCAAAUCUACCUGGGUUAUGCAUUACAUCUUCAAAACUAUAUGGAGGAUUAGGCACCUGACGUUAAGUCCGAGAAAGGUCCUGAUUUUGUGCAUCUCAAGUGGGAAUAAUCUAGUCAGUGAUACUCUUUGAGCCUCUCCGAGGCAUGGGAAGUUCAAAAAUAAUUAAGAAAUAGCAUCUUUCGGACUCUCUGAUAUAUUGGACUUCACCAUUCAUUAGCUUCAGAAUCUUCCGGCACAUGCUCAGCCCUAAGCCCUCCUGUGUCAUCCACCGACUGCUAUGGAACAUGUCUUGCACCAGCUCAGGAGGAAGCCCUUCACCAGGGCAUACCAUCCUUUGUAAAGUGCAUUUAUGUUAGUUGACUCAAAGGGCAUCAAGAGGAUUUACAUUUAAAACAAUACUGAACAUAAACAAAUAUCCUCACACUGUCACAAUUCGUGAUUUAUACUUUGCAGUAUACAAUGUCUUCUUACGGACAAAACCAAGAAACAAAAUAUCCUAAUCCAAUAUCAUAGCACAAAACUUAGUCAAGGAAACAGAAAGUAACAAAAGGUUUCUUUACUACACAAUCAACUCUGCACUGAGAGCUACCAAAAGUGAAGGUUGUUUAGUUGCUAUAGCAUGAAAUUUCUACAUAAUAAUUCCAUUAGAGAUUGUUGCAGAACUAAAGGCCGCAGCUGGCAGGUCCAGUCAGACUUGAGAACAAAAUUAUUUAGAUACUGAAAUUUCAAUAUACCAAAGUCAAAGCUCGUGAGUCAAAGUUCAAUCAGUCAACUACCUACUUACCCAAAAAACCAAUGUCCCAACUGUGGCAACUCGAUGCUGCUUAUAAAAUGACAAAAGCUAAAAAGCAAGAUGCAAGAGAAACGCAGCUAUAAUUUCAAAUAUUGCUUGAGUCACCAGGCUUGAAGCAGGCUCAGAAGCCACAAAGAAGUCAAUGAAAUAGAAUGCCCAGGGACCUUAACACUUCAUCUGACAAUUAAGGCUACCUCAAACACACCCAAAAGAAACAAAAAUAAUGAUGUGCAGCCACAAAUCUCCAGUUCAGAUGUUCGCAGGUGGCAGGCCAACCAUGUGGGCCAAAGCAAGGUUAUUUACAAUGCCUAUGAACUUCUACCAAAGUGCAUGUUGCAUAGCCAUAUUGCCCUAAAGCAAAUUAUGAUUUAUACUUGCUAUUAUAUAUAUAUAUAUGACUGAAAAUAUAGAGUUGGUAACUUGAUAAAUUAUCUAGCACAAACAAAAAACUUAACAAAGAUAGAGCAAGACAAAUGAUUCGGUCCAAGUUACAUAGAGAGUCAAGCACUUAAACAAGACUCAUACCCGUGAAAUUAGUGCCAAUAUGUAGUAUGUAUACUGACAAGAUUGGUUCCCAAAUUCACAAGUAUUACUCUUGUGAAUGAUGGAGAUAAAAUACUUCAAAGGAAAUCAUAUCGGAGAACAUUUAUAUAGCCACAGCCAUCACAGUUUCUUACUAUGAAAGUACUAGGAAAGUGUUAUUAAGGUCAUUAGAGUUAAAUGUGAGUGGAGUUACUAAGGCCUUAUUCUUUUUGCUUUCAAUCAAUGACAUGGACCUUUCCACAUGUUAUUAGAAUAACCAAUAAGUAUGAUAUUGAAAUGAGGAUGGGGCAAACAAACCUGAAUUCAUUAUGUACAAUGGUUUGUCCCUCAGAACUUUGCUUCAAUGUUGGACGAACAUGGAUCUCUACCCAACCCUCUGCUGAUGGUGAAUAACGUACCAUAUUCAACAAAAAGUCAGCCAAGACCUGCUGAAUUCUUGCCUGAUCACCAUAAACAGCUAGUGUCUUGAUUUCCUCUGGGAUAUCUCGAAUCAACUGAAGAUUUCUUUCCCUCAGCAACAUCAUCACUUGGCUAACAACAGCAUUUAUGACACUCCCGAGUAAAAAUUCAGCCUUCUCAAACUCCAAUGAACUGACUCCAAAAGUAAAUAAAAAAUGAGAUCAUCUUUCUCAUUAGCAAAAUUUUUCAGGAGGUUCAGAUGAUUAGUAGAAGAAUACACUAGAUUAUAAUAGUUUAGAAAUAAAUAAAAACAGAAGAUCACUAGCAAUAUGAAAAGAAAACAAAAGUCACAAGGAUGAUUAAUCAGUUCUACACUGGAAGAAUGUGGCUGAAAUCCUAAAACCACGACACCCUUAUAUGACAUGGCUUACAAUAAUUGAGUUCUUGUUAACUCUAGUUUCCUACUUGGUAUAACUAGGACAGUCUUCUAGCUACUCUUUCAUUGUAAACGAAGCUUUUGUACAAUACAGAAAGAAAGAAAAGCAAGAACUAUCAACAAACAAAUGAAGAUAAUUUGAAAGCAGCAACACUCAAACAUGUAUAUUUACACGAAAUUAAAACACUUGUUCCUGCAUCACAAUAGAUGUGAUGAGGGUUUUCCAUCAUGAUCAAAGUUAAGACUGUUCACAAGGUGAAAAAAGACUCACCCAUCUUCAAUGCUUUCUAGGUCCACAUCCUUUAUGAUCUUCAACAUCUGCUUCUCACAGGCAGCACUUGUCUCAAGUAACUGUUUCUGAUCUUCUGUCAAGUCAGUGGCCUCCAAGAGUGAGUUAGUAAAGCUCACACCACUCAAUGGAUUCUUUAUUUCCUGGCAAAUGUAAGCCAACUCUUUCAACCUAGCAAAGCACUUCUUUUCCUGUUGCCUCUGAACUGUAAGAGCUUGCUGCAACUCUGGACUAGCAAUUUGCAAGAAGCAGAAAGCUCCUACAAUCUGCCCUUCCAUAUUUACCCUUUUGUUGGCAGUCAAAAGUGCUUGCACAUAUUUUCCAUUCCGGUCAAACAAGGGAAAAGGAAACUUCUCCGUGUCCUGCCCUCCAAAUGCAUUGUGCAAGGCAAUCAUAAAUUUUGUCAAAGCAUCAGGACCCUUGAGACGACAGCAACUUCCGAAAACCUCCCCAACUAACAUCUUCCCAAUAAUAUCUCCUCGACUCCACCCAGUGAGCUUCUCCAUGGCAGUGUUCCACUCCGAGCAACAAGUGUUUUCAUCUGAAGCAAAUAUGGGAGGGAUCAAAGGAUUGGGACUGUGAACAAUGGCCUUGUAAUCACCUUGUAUGUGAAUAAAUUUGUCCAUCACCAAUUUCUGAUCGGUAACAUCCUGACCCACAAAGCAAACUCCAACAAUAUUAUUUGUGUAAUCCUUGCUGGAGCAAGCAUUGACCACCACAAAGACCGCCUUCUUACGAUUUUCUGCACCAAAUGUCCUCAAUUUUAUCUCUACAUUCUUGUCUUCCUCACCUGCACAAGUGAACUUGAGUCAUUUACACUAGUAAAAGCAGUUUCAGAAGCCGACAAUAAGUAUUCUCUUUCAAAUGCUAAUUAAUUAAUCACCAGCCGAUGAGAAGUGUGUGACUGUUACCUUCCAACUUAUGAAUGAGGAGACUCUCACUUUAGACGUAUAUUUCUCAUGUAGAAAACUACUGGGGCAACACAGCCAUGUUCCAGCUAAUUAUUUCAAGGUGGCUGAGUUAGGCUCCUCAUACCAAUCUCAACACUCACCCCACAUUCCUGGUUGAACACUGAAUAAAUUGACCAGUGCCAAUGUACAUAUAUGGAACCACAUAAUGACUUCAAUCAGGUUUGAGACUCUAUUUUACAUCUUUCCCAUCUCAAGCGUCUAAAAUGAACUUUACCAUUUCAUAGCAUGUGCGGACACUAUUUAAGUACAGUCAAUCAAAAGGCACUCAGAGAACACAUGCAAAUUAAAUCAGUGAAACAUGAUUUAUAUUGCAUAUUAGCUACCCAAUUUUCACCCUCAAUAGCAUUGGAGAGCAAAAAUUGACCUGCUUUAAGUUUCCAUUUGUCAUUUCUGUAAACGAUUUUGGCAACACCCAUUUUCAUUUUGGAAAGGUUUCAUUUCUGAUAUGCACACUCAACUGACAAGGAAAAUGGAAUAGAAAUUAUACAUACCUACAAGAUGUCAAAACAUACUUGGAAAAUGCUCUGAAUUAGCACAAGUUAAGAUGCUGGAUAAAGGACUACCUUUUAAAGCAUGAUGAAGAAGAUUGUCAACGAUUUCUUCAUAUUCCUUAUAAACAAGAUCAUGAACCAAGGACUUCCCCAUAGCUUCCUCAACUGACAGCCCAGUCAACUCUGCAACUUUUGCAUUCCACCCAUUGACACGGCCAUGAACAUCAACAGCAAAUAUGGGGGCAGUUGCAGUCUCUAUUAAUCUUACCAUUUCCCUGGCAACUGAACUGAGCUCAUCCACCCCUUGCAACUCUAGAUCUACAAGCUGGGCAUUUACAACAGCCUUAGAAUUGCUUGCUUCAGCGUCCCUAAAUGAGUCUCGCAGAAUCAGCUGCAAAGAAUGAAUUGCAUCCAUUUCUGCAUUAUCCCAUGGCAAACUGCGGCUCUUCACCACUUCCAGAAAUGCCUUGAAUGAAGAACGUGGAUGCAUCCUUUGCCCAUCAUCCUUGUCCUCUGGGUGAUGUUUUGCACCACCCCAUUUGAUCUCCUUUGCUGUGUGGGACCGGAACCAGAAUAGAAAAUCCCUUUUAGUGAUGUAGGCAACAGCCAUUCCACAAACUGCAUCACCAAGUGUGGCUGCCUUAGGGUACCCAGCAUCAGCCAAACUGUCUGUGCUUAAACCAGUUGAGUCUCCAUGGUAAGUCAGCAGCCAUUCCACUAUAUCCUUUAUCUGGGUUUCAGUUGGGGUUACACCAAGUGGGUAAUAUUUUCCUUGGUAGUACAGUGCUGCCCCAUCACACUUCACAAGGUCCAUAAUACUAGGGCUCUGAGUAACAAUUCCAGCAGGAGAGUCACGAAGAAGCAUAUCACACAAAAGAGUCUGGGUCCUCAGAACAUGCUUCUCAGACAACUGUGAAGCUAAUUGCAAUUCCAUGUUCAGUUGGAGUCCAAAAGCUUGCAUUAGGAACUCACAGGCAUAACGAAGUGGAAAUGGAAUGCACCGUGCAGAAGUGUGAUGGCAAACAACCAACCCCCAAAGCCUCGUAGUGCUCCUCCCACCAACAGCUUCCUCAUCGUUUCCAUUAAUAAUAACAGCCAAAGCCAAUGAAGCAAUCGACCCCAUAUUAGCCAUAUACUGAGCGUGACAACCAUGCGGAGCCCUAAGUGUUGAACCUACUAAACACAAAGGUUGCAUAAGCCCUUCAUCCUGAAUGACACAAAGUGGAGUGGCGUGACAAUCAACAAUCAUCCUAACCCUAUUCUGCUUGAAUAAAAACCGUGAAGCCUGCGGAAUAUCAGUAGCCGGAUAAUGUAAUCCAAAAUAAGGCUCCAAAUCAGGCCUUUUACUCUCAGCCACAACCUCACCAUGUUCAUCCUCAUGAAACCUAUACACCAUAACCCUGUCGUACCCGGUAAGCUGUCUCACACUCUCAACAACAGUAUCACACAACAAUUUAAUAUCCCCACCAGGAAGCGAUUGCAAUUGAGAAAUCGCGCGCACAGCCAAUUUCUGUGACUGCACAGCUCCAGCAAUAGACAGAGCAGGAUCCUCUGUCCUUGCAGGCUCUAAAUCAAUAACUAUCCCUACAUCGACCCUAUGCAAAAUCGCGUAAAAGGGUUUACCCGUGUUCUUCGAAUGAAUCCAAAUUGGGUUUAACAAAGUAAUUUCCCUAGCGCCAAAGGCUUUUUCAAGCAGAACUGAACUUGAUGAAGUGAAAAGCGUGCGUACGUCGGUCCCAAUUGUUAAAAUCUCUUGCUUCUCAAGAUUAGGCACAGAUUGUGGAGCUAAUCCUAACAUUUCGCCCGCGUUUUCACUGUAAGCAAUGACUCGAAAAGUGGCUUCAUCAACAGCUAUAGUACAACCAAAGGGCUGAAUAUGGCCACCCCUUUGAAUUUUCGACAAGUAAGCACUAAUUUGCUGCUCAGGAACUGAAUGACUCGUCGUUCUAACUGACUGUGAGUAAUCAAACGACUUACCGGACUCGCCCGACUGUUCAAACACAGCGUGAAGCCGAGCAUCCACUGUGUACUGAGCAAUGGCUUUGCUUACCGUCAUUGAUUCUGUGGCGUUGUGGUGGGCUCUUAUGUUGCUUGUGCCUGAAGAUUGUGCUGCUGAUUGACUUCUACGAUGCUGCUGCUGGUGCUGUGAAUUCGAAGCCAUUUCUUUUACUAUUUAGUUCUUCAGUGUUUACAGAUUUUGCAAAAUCCUCAGAUGACUGAACGUGAAAAAAUUUAGUAAAGAGAGCCAAAUGAUCAAAGAAGCAAGAUGAAAACAGAGGAUUUUUGUCAAUUGGGAAUUUUGGAUCAAAAAGUUGGAGGGGGUGAAAGGUUUAAGUUUUAGUGCUUUGAUACCCUAUGGCAGUCAGGUUGGUAUUAUUUAUCUAAUUGUCUUUUAAGUGUUUAAUUAAUUAUUUAAAGUAAAAUCCUCAUUAUUUAUUUUAUAUUUUUAUAAUUUUUAAUUUUUUUAUUAAAAUAAUUUUUUAAUAUUUAAUAAAAAAAUUUAUUGACACUUAAAUAAUUAAUAAAAUUAUUAAUAAAAUUUCUAAUUAAAUAAAUUUUAUUUAAAAAUUAUACUGAACAGAAUCUUAAUUAAUUUAAAAGGUUUGAUAUAUUAACUUAUCCUCCAGGCCUGAUGAAAUUAUAAAAUAAAAAUGUUGGUGUUUGUUGGUUUUAUUAGUAAAACUUGUAAUAAAAAUUAAACUAUAUCUUUAUUUGUGGAUUGACCAACAAUUAGGAAUCCAAAUAUUAUUAUGUCAAAAGUUCAUUUACCUUCUUCUUUUUCUCUUGGGAAGGUAUUUUAUUUAUUUAUUAUUAUUAUAAUAUUGUUUUUAGUUUGGGCACGUGAUUUUUCUUUUUCCUUUUUCUGAUCUGGAAUUAUUUGUGGGCGUUAAGAUAGCUACGGUGGUGGGAAAUGAAAGGGAACCAUUUGAUUGGCUGGCCCCUUGCCUCCGGUGUUGAGCCCUCACAGCAUAUAAUAUUUUAUUUGUUCUCUUUUUCUCCGCAUGCUGUUUUACGUGGCCAUAUAAUUUUUUUUUCCCCCUAAAAUUUGAAUUGAAUCUCAUUUUUUCUCAAGUCCAAAUGAAUUUAAAUAUAAUUGGCUAAAUUACAUAUUUAUUUUUUAAUAUCUGAAUAUAGGUGUUAUUCCGUUUAUUUUUAUAAAUAAAAAUAUCUUAAAUAUAGUAAUUUGAUAUUUUAUUCUUUUCAAACAAAACAAAAAAAAUUAGGUUUUAUAGUUUAAAAAAUAAAUAUAUUUAAUAGAGAUUUUUUUAAACAUAAUAUUUACUUCACAUUCAAAUUUUUUUUCAUUUAAAUAAAGUUAGCAAAAAUUUAUUUUUUUAUGUAAAUGUCUAAAAAUUAAACAUAAAUCACUAAAAAUAAAUAAAUUAAUUAAUAAAAUUUCAAACUUUAAACAUUUAACUUUAGUCUAUUCAUUUUAUAUUUUAAUCUAAAUAUACGCCAUCAUGAGCUUUUUUUCCCCCUUUUUCUAAAAGUUUUCUUCUUUUUAAACUUUGGAUUAUGAAAUAUAUUCGGCCAAUGCGCUCGUCUAAAAUGCUUCCACCUACACACUGUAAAAUGAAUGUUUGAGGCUCGAUCAACUAAGUAUCUAAUAAUAGAGUAAUGAUAUAGCCACAAAUCCUUGUACAAAUUGAUGUGGCACGAUAAAAUUGGUUGAAUUAAAUAUCACUUGACUCAUAUGAUUUAUUUUUAUUAAUUUAUAUUUUCAUUCAACCAAUGAAUUAAUGACACGUCAAGUUGUACAAAAUAAGUUUGUACAAGAGUUUAUGGCUGUAUCAUUACUCCUAAUAAUAUAAUGUUAAAUUAGUGUCAAAUUAUAGAACUAUAAUUGGUCAAUCGCCAAUGGAUACUUCUUCAGCGCUCAGACAUGUUAAAAUAAGAAUUUAAGUCGGAUCACACAUGCCUUCAAUCAACGUCUUCUUUAAUGCUAACGUUAGCUCUUUUUAAAUAUAUAAAUUAGGGCAUUAAUCAUAUAAUGCUUGGUGUUAAAUUAGAGAGUUUAAUACUUACAUUGAAGCAUUUUAAAUAUAUAAAUUUAGGUCUCAAUCAUAAUGAAUCGAGAGACAAAAUAACAUAAUCUAUCUUCAAAUCCGCCUUUCCAAAAUUACAAAUUUAGGAAUUCUCAAGUCUUUAAUUAUGGAAGGGCCUAAGUUACAUUAAACGUAACGGCCCUCUCACAGUAACGACGGCGCAAGUUACGUUCAACGUAACUUAGCGCUAGCCUUUUAAUUAUUGCAGCUAGUACAAUAAUCAUAAAGGCAUCGAUACACAGUAUAAAAGAGAGAUGGUUUUGUUUUUUUCACAGAAAAUGUCAACUUUGAUACCGGAUUUAAAACAAAAAACAAAAAAAAGGCGUCCCAAUUCAGUAAUUCACCGCUGAUAAAAGCACCGAUACUGUUAGAAAAUAUGGACAAAAAACUUGGAUAGAUAGUGUAUGUCUUUGUAAAGCGCCGUACCUUUCAAAAUUUCCACCAGCGCAUGAAAUGCCAUAACACACAGCGACAUUUGACGCUCUGAAAAGCACAAAAUGCAUUCCAGGCAACGUGACGCCCACGUGAAUAGAUGAUCAACAACAUAUUAAAAAGUAGAUUCCAUUACAAGAGCAUCAAUGAUUUAACUCUCCAAACGCUUUACAUGGAUUCCAAUGAAAGUUUUACAUAUAUUUUACUUUAAAAAGAUAAAUGGAACUGCAUGCUAUUUUAAUUUAAAUUUAUACAUAGCUAUAUCAUUCGCAAAAGUAGAACGAUUCCACGCGUACGGAAUUUGUUGGAACAUCUUGGCUCUUACUAAAAGCCGUCCAUUUCUAAUCAUGGUGGCUAAAAAUUUUAUUCAAAUAUUCAAGAAUGGAGAGAUCCUUAUACAACAAUGCAAGCUCUGCAUCUAGAUUUUGAAACAUCACUUCGUUCAAUUAAUGAUCUGAGAGUCGUAUCUUGAUGAACUUUCAACUUACAGACCAAAGUUUUCGGCUGGUACUUCAAAUUACAAAAACAGUAAUCUAAAAACCCAACAACAAUUCCAGCAAAAUACAGAUUUAAAGACUUCAAAAGGGAAAAUGUUUUGGAAAGCAUGUUGAUUAUGAUUUCCCACCUGUUGCCGGGAAGUGAAUUACUUGGUGUAGAGAACAUCUUCCCAUGGGUGACGGUAUAGAGGUUGUUUCAAUCUCUUCUGGUCAAAGGUAUGCCUGAGAUUUGAAUGAGAAGCAAUAAGUCAGAUGCAGGAUGUGACGAAAAAGAGGGAUAAUAUACAGAGAAACUGCAAUUUUCUCUAUAUCUAUGAGACACCAAAAUUGGACGUCAGAAUCACAGUCAAGUAAUCCCAAAGUACCAGAUAGCAUAAGAUUAAUGGAACCGUUCAUUUUCCGUUGUGAAGAAGUUGAAAUCACUAUCAGCAUGCAUAGCAACAUCCUAAUCUACAAAAGAAGUCAUCUGACCCUCACAGCAUCACAGCCAAGUGCAACAUAACUAAACACCCUAAACAUAUCGAAAGGCAUAAAAAAGCCACAUUGCUAUCACUAUUCGUAGCAAGAAGCAAUUCCAGAUAAGAAUCAUUGUGGUAACAAACACUAGAAACCAGAAACUCCAAUUUUCAUUAUUUUUUGUUCUCUUGAUAAACAAAGUCCUAUCCCAAUAUCAACAGCAAAGUUUUGCAAAGAAAGCAAAAGUUAAGCAUAUAGCCCAAAUGAGCUUAGAAAAGAAGUGUAAUUUUACUUACCCAAUCAAACCGAUGGAGCGUGCCAGAACAAAGAGCCCAUUCAGAUAUCCAAUUUCCACUAUCUCAUCGAUUUCUUGCUUGCUGAACAUUCCACUGCCAGCAAGAAGAUCCAAGAAAAGGGACCCAAUUGCACCAUCUACAUUAAGAACCAGGUUGUUUGCUUUUGAUAGAGUGUAGGUUUCAACUUGAACAGCAUAUUCCAUAUACUUCACAGAAGGGAAAUGAGUGCGUGCAAAUUUUUGUAGCAGCUCCACUCUUUUGUCUCUGUUAUCUCCUCUCUUGAUCCUUUUUCACAGAAAGCAAAUAGCAUAUCAACAUUGAUUUACAAUUAGCAACUAAUGCAUGAACAUUAAAUUUCAUAGAUCCAAGAUUUAAUAACACCUACAUACCUGUGCCCAAUUCCUGGCACACGUAUGCCCUUCUUUUUCAUUGAUUCAACAAAUUCAUAGGCUGAAAGACCCUGAUAAGACAGCAAAAGAAUAAAAUUUCAGAAUCUAGAAACUAUCAGAGCAAUCAGAGUAUUGCUUAAUCAUCUCACGUAAUCCACUAAACUUUACCCGGUCAUAAGCAUCCUUGAAAUAUCGGGCAGCAUCAUCAAUGGCGCCACCAAAUCGGGGACCAAUUGUGAGCAAACCUGUUUCAGAACCUCAUAAUUUAGUUCUGUCGUGUCAAUUCUCAAAUGAUAACUAAACUAUAAAUAUUUUUAAAAUGGGUGGGGUUUCCUUGACUUAAAUUUUUUAAUUGGAAAAAUCAUGACUUAAUUUGUCAUCCAUUGGAUCCAUCCAAUCCAAUAGUAGAUGGAUGAACACUUACAUGCAACUUUUUAACUUUAGAUCCACACCAUUGGAAAAGAGGAUAAUAAAACCAAAACCAGUUGUUUACCUGACACGAGGCUGGAAACAAGAUCCUUUCCAGCUCUUGCUGUCACUAUAGUGUUGUGAGCACCAGAAACACAGGGGCCAUGAUCAGCGCAUAACAUUAUGCAUAUCUGUCCAAGAUAAUGUGUAUCAUAUCUGUCCAAGAUAAUGUGUAUUAAUGGAAAAAAAAAAAUGAGCACCAUAUACUAUUAAUCAUGUGCUUUGACGCUAAUGGGGAAAAAGAGGAAUAAGAAAGCUAAACUGAAUAGAACUUUCCAUAGUACUUCAACGGUAGAAAUUCAAAAAAAGCUCUUCAUUGACAAUGAACCUACCUCAAUAAAUUGGGUACAGUAGCGGGGAAGGCUGCGUUUAAACCACAAAAGGGAAAUAACAUCACCCACACCAUAACCUUGUUCUACAAUUGAAGACAUUGGUACACCAGCAUAGCAUGGCUCCUCACCUACAGAUUAGCAUAAAGAAGAAUUUAAAGUUAUCAAAGCCAAACACCCAACUGCCGAUCAAAUCAAGACCAUAAAAAAAUAAGUACCUCUGUCAUCAGAGAUGGUUGAAAUAAUAUGAGUUGGAGCCCGUACUUUCCCACUCUUAAUGGCAGUGUUAAGAUCCUCAGGGAUUUGUGGUGGUGUAACUUCCUUCACUGGUGGAAUCUUCCCCUCUUCAACCUAAGGUAAAAUUCAUCCAUCCACAUGAAUAAGAUUAGUUAGGCAGCAUUAAAGAAAUUGUAGCCCUUUUGUCUUCCCUUGGUGGGAGAGGAAGGGAAAGGGGCAGGGGCAGACAAAGGGUCUUAGAAACUAACAAGUUUCUCAAAUGUCUCCUUAAUUGCAGAUUCAAAGGCUUCAUAUGAAGUAGGAACAACAGCUCCAGCAUCCCUUAGUGCUUGAUUCUUUGCCUGAGCAGACUCCAUCUCACCACCACUUUUAGCACCCUGAUUUAGUUAAUGACAAGGAAGAUUAUGGAUAUGCAGGCCUCAAGUUAAGAAUGCUAUGGUAUUGAAAAAUUAUCCAGGAAAACUUGAGUAAUAACUUACAGCAUGACCAAAUUGCACUUCUGAUUUGAAUAGUCGAGCACAGGUUCCACUGACCCAUGCAACCACAGGUUUGUUUACCUUUCCCUGUUUCAGAGCUUCAACAAGGGAGUACUCAUCCCGUCCUCCAAGUUCACCAAGAACAACCAUCAUUUUAACCUGGGGUCAGCCCCAGAAAAAGACAUUAGAAGGAAGAGAAAAAUAAGAAGAAAACAUUAUGUGCAAAAAGACUAAAGCAGAAAAAGCGGUAAAAAAAUUCUUAUAAUUUUCUUCAAGCAUGCCCUCUAGAGCAAGUAAACUGAAUUAAUUAACAACUUCAAGUUGCAAUAACACUUCAAAAAAUCAACAUUCACCACCAAAACAAUGUCUAUACAUACUACUUGCUACAGGUAUCCACAUGGCUUUGUCAAGACAUAAUUUUUCAUCAGGAAACACUCAAAGAAAUAAAUAGAAACACAAAUUUACCUGUGGGAUGUUGUUAAACCGCAAAAUGUGAUCAGAAAGAGUGGAGCCAGGGAACACAUCUCCUCCAAUUGCAAUACCUACAGAAUUUUGAAAAAUAUCCCCACAAUAUGUUCAAUCCUAAAUCAUUUUAGGCAGGCAAAAGAUGGAAUAAAGAUGCAUGCAGUGUACCUUCAUAGAUUCCAUCUGUUACACGAGCAAUAGUGUUGUAUAGUUCAUUAGACAUGCCACCCUGCAAUUGUCAAAAGGAACAUUAUUUGUCAAAGGUUCAAUCAUAUGGCAUAUUCAAACUAUGCAUCUCAAGAAAAUUACUGGUCAUAAUAAGAACUUAAUGAAUGGGUAGGUUCCAUUUUGAGCUCUACAUACAGACAAGCUCGAUCUCACUCGUCAAAAUUGUGGGGCAAAACUGUUACAUAGUCAACUACAUUGAAGAUCACAUGAUUUAUGUCGAGAAGGCAGUAAAUGAUACUCCAAAGGUUAAAGCAAUUUAGAACCUCAUAAAUGCAAGCAGCAUAUAGAUUUUUACUAUGAGAAUAUAUAAUCAGAGUGAUUAAAGCUAUCCAAAAAGAAUGAGCUUUUCCGUAACUAUUUCAACCAAAUUAGUAAAAAUAUGGACCAGUCAGUUUACUACUUGUUUCCCUCAUUAAAAUCUACUCUUUUUUAGGCCAUAACUUAAAAUGACUGAGCAAUUUCAAAUUUAAGUUUUUAGAUUCCCAACUGAACCAAAUGAUAAUGCUAAAGGAAAGAGUACAUACAGAUUUGGAGACAAAACCAACAGAUCCAGGCCUGUAGAGUUUGCAAUGAAUGAUGUUAUCAAUGGUUCCGGCUGUGUCACCUAUCUUAAAAGCUCCAGCUUGAAUUCCUCCAACAGUUGCUGGGCCAAUAACAACCUGCAAAAUGAUCAUUAUUAAAUUUUGUUACAGGUUAACAAGACAGGUAAUUAAUCAGUAAGGAUGACUACUAGUAUUGAAAUUAAGAUACAAGUUAAUUAAAAUAGCUUCAUAUUAUUCUCCUCACCUUGUUGUUAGACCGAGCGUAUGCAAUCAAUUGCUUGGUGUCUGCCUCAGGCACACCUUCGGCAAUAAUUGCCACUACCCGAAUGGUUGGCUGUUUCAGGGCAGCCAUAGAUGAGGCAGCCGCACUGCAAUUAUAUUUAAAUGUCAGACUGAUGUAGUUCUCACAAAGCAUUCAAACCAUGAUAUUAACUAACAAAUGAAUAUUUACCUUCUAAAUGAUGAAAAGUUGAUGAAAACAUCAGCCGUUGGAUGAGCAGCACAAGCUGCCUCAACACUGCAAAAUUUUAAAAAUACAGGUUAGCAAACUCAAAGCCCAGGAAUAUGCAACUUCAGUGCAAGUAUACUGCUUCAAUUGUUAGGCUAACAAAUUUGUAAACUAAAUGUCCAAACUGAUAUAAAGCAGUGGACUGACUUUAGCAUAAAUAGACCAAUUAGCAAUGUACCAUAAAAUUGACUGACGGAAUUCUAAAGAUUUCUGCUCGUGACAUCAAUAUUUGACACGUAACAUGCCAAAAAUGCUCAUGACCACAAGUAUACACUGACCAAACUGUACUUACAAUUUAUUAUUCUCACAUAAACACAAGAGUAUAAAAAAUAACAACACCACCAAGUUUUCACAAAAGAGUAAAAUAUUAAAUAAAUUGUGUGAGGAUAACGAGUACUCCACAUUAGACGGCCUAGCUAAAUCAACAGGAAUCAGCUUUCUUAACACCGAAAUAAGUAAGAUGUUUUACUUAAUAAUACAGAAGUGACAGAUUCAUAUAAAUAGAGAAAGAGAAACAUAAUCUUACGUUGAAUGCACAGGAAUGGCAAUUUCCUCUUGUCCAAAAAACAAUUUCUGAAAUCCCUCAGCCCCAGGAUUUAUAAUUCCGGCAACUGAAGGUGUUUCCCUCCCUAAAAAUACAAUUUCAGAUAUUCAAAAUAAUGCCACACACCAUCAAUUAAGAUAAUGCGGUUACCUUAUCCAUAUUUCACAUACAUAAAAUUAAUAAAAAACUGCAUUUGCAUAUCAUACACACCGCAAAGGAAAUCAAAAUCAAGCAUCCGUUGGAUUGGAAGCUGCUUAUAGUUGUAAAACAAAGCUUGUGUGGUUUUUGAAAACAGCUGUCCUGUAGCCAUGGCGUGACUAAUCGCUGAAGACACCUGCGAUGAACAACACAAUUCAAUUCUGUCAAAUUUGUAAAAUUAGCAAGUGUGAUUAG